GAUACUUUUUGCCAUCGCAAGUUGUACUGCCAAAAAUUAGAUAAGCAAAUUAAGGAGAACAGAUUAAACUGAACGCCCUUGAUUAAUCAAUGACAAAGAAAUAUCCUUCUUAAUUACUUGAAUAUUGUAUUUUGGUAAGGUCCACGUCUGUAAUCUGAGUUUGUGGAAGCGAUUCCUCUCGACAACAAAAGUGCGUCCAUAAGUCCAAGUUAACAUCAUGGUCCACAAGGUCACCGGCCACAUUAACCAUAGAUACCACUUCGAUUCUUGAGGGUUGGAAGCCAAGCAGGCAAGUCCAAGCCGUAAAUGAUAGAUGGAAUCUGGUGUGGUAAGAUGAGUUAGAUGCACUACAUCAGGGGCUUCCUCGGGUCUCUUGAGCGAAUCUUCAUAGAGGGUAACAGAAGACGUGUCCAUUGUGCCAUAGAUGUAAUCAUAGAUGGGCAUGAAUAGUGAGUAAUUGGUUCUGAAUUGAGUGUGGUGAAGAGAGUGGUACCUGCAGCCAUAUCAAGUGUUUAUUAGUUCAUCAUGGAGGGAGUAACUAGUUCUAAACUGGCUUUGGUGAAGAGAGUUGGAACUUGCAGCUGCAUCAAAUGUUAAAUCAUGCAUUCGCGCUUAUCAGAUAUUGUUUUGAACACUGAUUAAUAGACAACGCAAUAAUGCACUGUCAGUGAAAAUAUAGUGGAAAAGGUGAAAUGUACGCGUCAAAGCUAUUAAAAUACAGUAUAAAAUCACAAAACGAUACUAUGGAAUUAUAAUUAACAGAGUAUUUUCCAUAGACGACUGUAUAUUCUUUUCAUCUUCUUUUUAUGCAAAAUUUGGUGAAUCAUUUUCCUGCUUUUUGUUCAUAAGUAUGGAAGAAAUCCCAUUAAUAAAACGAAGAGGAUACUGGUGAGAAUUAAUGAUUGAAAAUGCAAAAAAUCAACUGAGAUACAUCUAGACUUACGAUGGGGUGUACAUGAGGUACUUGAGAGGGGGGAAAAUGAUGAAGAGCCAUCUGGGAAUGAGUUCAAAGUUGCAGUGACCCAUGUUGUUCAUCAAGUCGAUGUAAGUGAUAUAACCAGCAAAGGAUGUUAAAGAGGCUGUCCCCGUCACAAUAGUCGUUAUCAAAGGUAUUGCGAAUAGCAUGGAGUAGGAUAUGUGCUCGGCGAAUGGAUGAAUCACAGCUGCGAUGCAGAUUUCCAGAAAGAAAAUGUCAAAUAAUUACACUUACUGUAUAUCAUCAUCAUGUAUUGCUAAUAGUAAUGGAGAAUGGUAUGCGUUCCCCUCAAUCACACAAGAUUUUUCUUCCGUUAUUAUAAAAAUACUCGAACUUAAAACCUUCUAUGAAAGGUCAAUUAAACUAAGUUUAUCAACGAUCACACAAGAUUAUUAAUAAUUCAAAUGCACACCAUAUAUAAAUGUGUGUCAUUCUUCUUAAGGAGUACUUAAGAGAUUAACUAUUCACUUUGAAAUUCUUAAAUAACUUUUAAACCACCAACACCAUAUAUACAUGGGGGCCGGGGGUGUUUGGAGGGAGACUUACAAGUAAUGGGCUCUGUGACAAUGGAGGAAUGGUGGUGGGAAUGAUAGCGAGAGUAGAGAUAGUGGUGAUGAAGAAGUCGAUGAAGCCAAUAAUACAGAAAUUCCACCGGACCCAUAUGAAUCAGAGCUGUUAGAAUUACACCAUCUAACCUCCACAUGGGGAGAUGGCUAGCUCCUGGAAUUAUUUUGCUACCAACGUAGAAUAAAAUUCCAUUGAACAAUAUUUGGUCAUCCCUGCGGAUAUCCAACCAGAAAAUCCAAGUAUCAAAAAACUCACAAGCACUAGCUAGAGUGGAAAUUAAUGCAUGAAAUUAUUGAAAAAGUAUAUAUAUAUAUAUAUAUAUAUAUAUAUAUAUAUAUAUAUAUAUAUAUAUAUAUAUAUAUUUGAUUAUACAAAUACCAGUUGCUUUCUCUAUCAACUUGAUCAAAUUCAAUGCCUUUGUCAAUAAUCCUGUUAUUUCCUUUGGCUGUUCUGUAACGGGACAGGCUGAUCCAUAACUGGUUGUGAAGCACUCUCCACAACAGAAUUGGGAAAAUGAGAAAGCUUGGGAGAUCUUUUUCAUCUUUAACCAUGAAGGCGUAGAUGUUGUGAAUGACACAAGGAGCCAAUAUUACAUGCUGCAAUAUUUAAACACACAAACAAAACACAGAUAUAUAUUAUUGUUUUAGGGUUAUGAUAUAUUAACGUUGUUUGCACGAAAACGAGUUACUCUACGUGUGAUAUCAGAUAACGAGAAGAAAAGGAGCGAGAGAGAGAGAUGGGAGGGAUUUCCAUAUGACCUUAAAGCUUCCAAGAGGUUUCCAUGGCCAGUCUGUGAGAAUUCCAGGCCGAGAAGCCAUCACUUCACUGCUACUACUUGUCUUUGUUUCCUCGCUUGUAGGGAAGUCGUGUAUAUAUAGACGAUGAGUAAUAUAUUUUCUUUAGCGUUAACGUUAUAAUUAUUGAUGAGUAAUGUUUUUUUAAUAACAGUACUGCCGCUCGAUCAAGUUAGAGCUGAGUAAAUUAUAAAUUAAUCCUUUUAAUUUUGGAAAAUAAAUUAAUUAGUCAUCUUCUUAAAAAAAAAAACAAAUUAUUCAGUUUUUUUUUAUCUAUUAUAUGUUAUUUUCUAAAUUAUGUUUUAAUAAAUAAAUAGAUAUUAUGGAAAGAUUGAUGAGAAAAGUAGAUAUUUUUGUAAAUAAAUUAAUAUGAAAGUAAGCAUGAUUAACAAUGAUAAGUGAUUAAAUAAUUAAAAUAGAUUGGUCAACCAUAUUUGUAAAACGAUACAUGUUUCAAUAUACUAAACUCUCUUGCAGGGUAUUUUUUGUCUUUUUACCAUGCUUUCUUUUUAUUAAUAUCAAGGUUACUCAUGAUGAUUAUUAUAUAUAAUCAUAUAUUAAAUAUUAUUAAAAAAAAUUUAGUUUGUGCGUCGAGCUAAUAAGCAGGCGUCAUGUCAUUUGGACAGUAUAUGUGAGGUCAUGCAGUUAUCAAACACCACCUACUGCAGUAGUAUUUGAAUCAUCUCAGCGUCCUCUCCUUAAAGAGGUGACACGUGUUUCAAACGACCCUUCAGUUUGGCAUCAAUAGUCUUUUCAUCCUUUUCUUUUUCUCUCUAUCUUGAUUUUCGCACUACCCCUUAAAAAUCUUAAAACAUCCCAUUCAAUUUGUAUUAUAUUAAGAUUUUGUUCUUUUUAUUUUUAUUACUAUUUGUUUUAUUUUGAAUAACUUAUAGAAUUAGAAUUCUUUUUCAAUUUCAUCCCCCUUCAAUUUUUUAACCUUUCAAAUUUGAUCAUCAUUCUUUUAAUUGUUGUUUAUUUUAUUUGAGAUAAUUUUUAAAAUUGAUUUUUUUUUCAUUUUAUCCUCCUUGAGUUUUUUCCUAUCAAAUUUGAUCCUCUUUCUUUUGAUUGAUAUUUUUUACUUUGAAAGAAAUUUUAAAUUGAUUUUUUUUUCAAUUUCAUCCUUGAACAUUAAAUUAAUUGGGAAUUGAGCUUUUCAGUUGAGCUCAGGUCUAGGAUUUCAUGGGCUGCAAGUUUUAGAGAUUAGCCAAGGUUUAGAAGGCUUGCUCAGAUUUACUUGAUUUUUUUUAUUCAUUUAGGCUUUUUUUUUAGUUUCAUCCAUUUAUUCAAUUUGAGAUUAAGCUCCAUUAUUUUUAUUUAUUUUAUUUUUUUAGAAUUUUACACUAAUUUUUAAAAUGUACCAGGUUAUUUUAGGUCUUUUUUUAUUUUUUGUUCUUUGUUGAAUUUCUUUUGCUAAUUUUUUAAAUUGAUAAUUUUUUUAUAAUUUCAUCUUUCAAUAUCUAGAAUAAUUUUUUUAUAAAAUUAGAAUUCUUUUUCAAUAUUGUCCUUUUUGAAUUUCUUAAUCUUUCAAAUUUGGUCCUCAUUCUUUUGAUUGUUAUUAUUUUUAUUUAAGAUAAUCUUUUAAAUUAAUUUUUCUUACAAUUUCAUCCUUAUUAGGCUUUUUCUAUCAAAUUUGAUCGCCAUUCUUUUGGUUGCUAUUUUUCUACUUUGACAAAUUUUUCAAAUUCAUAUUUGUUUUUCGAUGUCAUCCUUAAACAUUAAAUUAGUUAAAAAUGGAGCUUCUUGAUUGAGCCAUAGUAUGAGAUUUCAAUGUUGAAUGAUAUUGUGAAUUUCACUUUUGCUUCUUCCAAACAUCAUUUUGAGUUAAAAUUGACUAAAAAAUAUGAAGUUCGAGAGUUGAUAAUAACCGGAGAACUUGAGAAUGUUAUAAAGGCAAAUGAAGCUUCUAUUUUACAUCAACCUGAAACAACUAGUUAGGGUUCUCAUUUUAGUUCAAUAAGGAGUUUAAUUGAGUUAUUUGAAACAAUAAGAACAUUGCUAUUAAAGAUUGAUGAAAAUGGACCAAACUUUCAAUUUCAUACUAAGGCUUUCAAAUAUUAUUUUGCCAUGACAACUUUUGACUUUGUCAUUGUCUUACUUUUUACUAACAAAGUUAUGAGAGUUUAUUGAUUUUCUUUAACAAACGCUUCAAAGAAAAGAUUAGGAUAUUGUAUAUGCUUUAAAUUUUAUUUCACAUUCAAAUUUUCAACUUCAAUGUUUGAGGGAUAGCGAUUGGGAUGAUCUAUUUAAAAGUUUGGUAUUUUUUUAUGAACAACAUGAUAUUGAGAUUUUUGAUAUAAAUUCUCCUUAUUUGUUUGAUACAAGUCAUUCUUAUUAAUAAAGAGAUUCUAAUAUAGUUAAGUAUCAUUAUCAAUAUGAUAUAUUUAACACUGUGUAAUAUAUUUUUAACUGAUGGAGUUAAAUCAUAUAUUUUCAUAAAACACAGUGGAGUUGCUUUAUCUUGGAUCAAUAUUGGAUCAUUUUCAUGCCUUCACAUCAUUUAAAAUUGACGAUACAUGUAAGCUUGCUGAGAAAUUCUAUGCUGAAGAUUUUGCUCUUUUAAAUUUACAUGGUUCAAGAAUACAGUUGGAAUAUUAUAAGUUGUCAAUGGAUCAUCCAAACUUUGAGAAUAUUGAUUAUCUUACUACAUUGUAUCAUCAUUUAGUUGACACAGGCUUGAUAAAUGAUUUCGACUUGGUUAAUAGAAUGAUUCGAAUGGUACUAGCUCUUCUUGUUUCUUCAUCAAUGACUAAACAAACCUUUUCAUCUAUGAAGUUCAUUAAAAAUCAGCUUUGAAGUAAAUUGGCCUCUUUAGGCCGACACCAGCGCCGUCUCGUUGCCAUUAAGCCUGAGCUGUUCACAGUUGUAGAGAAAUUAAUUCCAUUUGCGUGAGUAGUAUUAAUCAAGAUAAUAAAUUUCAAACACCAUCAUCUUCUGGCGACCCUCGUCUGGUACAGCGGCUUAAGGAAAAUAGGAAGCCAAUGAGCUCAAGCAAAUGGACAUGUCCUUCAAACACGAGAGCACCUGCUAUUGCCCGGUCAUUUUACAUGGUCCCACCUAUGCUGGCGAUUAUUCAAUUCUUUUUUUUUAGUUUAACGUAGGUGUCCGGAUUAGCUUGCAUGUAUUUCGACUAAUCCCACGGGUCCUGAAGUUAACGACCAUGUAAGCCUCCAGUGGCCAUCAUAUGAACAACCACAGGGCUCGAACCUGAAACUACAGAGAAAGCAAACCUCUUGGUCCCAAACUUUUACCACUGGACCACCACCUAAAUGGUUGCGAUUAUUCAAUUCUUAUUGUGAGUUUCGUGAACCUUAUAGAAUUGUUUACUCUCCUGUUGGCUUGAAAUGAUUUUUCUGAUGAGUAUCUCAUAUGCAUUAAAUAAGUGGAUUUCGUUAAUCAUUCAUAUAAAACUAAUAGUUGGUUUUUUGGUAAGUAAAUUCUGUAAAAUACUUAUAUAAAAAUAGCAUUAUUUAUUAUAGAAAUGUGAUGUAAAUGUCAUUGGUUCUAUUAUGUUAAUGGGUUCCUGAAAAACUCUAACAAGUUUUUUUUUUCUUUUUAAUUACAAUGAACUAGAAAUCUUAAGUUGCAUGUAUAUAAAAUUAGUUUAAAAAGUGAUAAGAAUAUUUUUAUAUAAAUUUUUUUAUUUGUAUUAUUUUAAUUUUUUUUAAGUGAAGUUUAAAAAGUAAUUAAUAGAUAUAGUUGGUUAUUCAUUGAGUACUAUAAUUGUUUUUUGAACGCUUGAAUUUAUAUUGAUAUAGAAAAGAAUGAAGUUUCAAAAAUUGUGUAGUAUUUAUUUAAUCUUAAAUUUUAAAAAAAUGGAUAGAGAGAUGACAUUAAAAGUUUUUAGGUAAUUAGAUUAUGAAAACUUUUUUGUUUUUUUGAACGCAUCAAGAGCACUGAAAAACUAAUAAUAUUGUAACAUUAAAGUAUAUGUCUCGGUAUUGUAAAAACCGGAAGUAAUUAUAGCAAUUAAUAAAGGUACUACAUUAAAAAAAAAAAUAAGAGGAUGUUUUUCAGGGACAUGCGAGCAGGCUGUCUUUUCUCACUUUAAUAUUUCAUCAGAAAUAACAUCUCAAUAUAUGCCAAUAAAUGUGAGGGUGCGUGCGUUUUCUGGUUAUUCAACCUGGAUCAGCCUGAUAGGUGAUCCGAGACUUGAUUAAUCUAGUAGUUGAACCAAUUUAGAUAAGUUAAAAGAUUAGGGUAAGUAAAAACCCGGCAAAACCCGGAUGACCCCUCAGGUUAACUUGUAAGCCGGGCAACCCGGCAAAACCCAGUUUUUUUUUUUUCAAAUGUGUUUUUUUUUCUAGCCAAAGACCCCUCUUUUUUAUAUAUAUAUUUGGUUAAUUAUUAACCCUUUUCAAAGUUCACUAUAUAAAUACUAGAAGAAUGUUUUAUUUUUUCAAUAUGAGAUUUGAAACCUUUUAAUAUAUAUAUAUUCUAUGUUUACAAGAAAAAAAUUAUUUUUUCAAUAUGGGAUUUGAAGCUUUUUAGUAUAUAUAUUCUAUGUUCACAAGAAAAAAAGUUAUGUUUUUUCAAUGUGGGAUAAAAAACCUUUUUGGUUUAAAUACUUCAACUUAAAAGGAUAACAUACUAACAUAGUUUCUUUUGAAUGUGAGAUAAAAAAAUCUUUUGAAAUAAUUUUUUAAUCUUUAUUAUUGAUAAUAUGUAUAGUUGUCACUGGGUAAAUUUUUCGCUCCACAAAUAAACCCGUGUGGCAGCCUAGUCCCCACUAGACUCAGCCUUUCCUCACAAAUCUCACUCGUGUUUGCCUAGUAACUAAGUAUUUCCCUCACUCAAGAGGUUUUCCCCACUUUCACUAGUUAAAAGACAAGCAGAAUACACAAGUAAAAUAAGUUAAUUAAAGUACACAACAAACUUUACAUGAACUAUUUCUCAACCUUUAUUAAUCUCGUAAACAAAGGAAACACUAUACACAAAUCCCAUGUGUGCUAUGCACAAAGAUUGCAUGCUACACCAAGCUUACAUGCUCUAUUUCAUGCUCCUACAUGCUCUCCCAACCAAGAGUUGCAACAACUAUUUAUAGACAAGCAUUUACAAGGGAUAAUUUUAGCUGACUUUGGACCCGAUUUUCUCCUCUCUCAGACCCUCAAAAUCACCUUUAUUUAUAGAUGAUGGAAGAGGAAAAUCUUGUCUACACUUGGGGAAAAUUUCAGCCCAUAAUUCACUUGGAAAAAAUCCUAACUGUUGGUUCAAAAUAAGAAUUCUGAGUUGUCAAAUCUGCAGAAAAAACAAACUGAAUUGCCCUCUUUAGACCGGCACCAGCUCCGUCUCGUUGCCAUUAAGCCUGAGCUGUUCACAUGAGGUUGUCGAGAAAUUCCAUUUGUGUGAGUAGUAUUAAUCAAGAUAAUAAAUUUCAAACACCAUCAUCUUCUGGCGACCCUCGUCUGGUACAGCGGCUUAAGGAAAAUAGGAAGCCAAUGAGCUCAAGCAAAUGGACAUGUCCUUCAAACACGAGAGCACCUGCUAUUGCCCGGUCAUUUUACAUGGUCCCACCUAUGCUGGCGAUUAUUCAAUUCUUACUUGUAAGUUUCGUGAACCUUGUAGAAUUGCUUACUCUCCUGUUGGCUUGAAAUGAUUAAUUUUCUGGAUGAGUAUCUCAUAUGCAUUAAAUAAGUGGAUUUCGUUAAUCAUUCUCAUAAAUCUAAUAGUUGGUUUUUUGGUAAGUAAAUUCUGUAAAAUACUUUUAUAAAAAUAGCAUUAUUUAUUAUAGAAAUGUGAUGUAAAUGUCAUUGGUUCAAUUAUGUUAAUGGGUUCGUGAAAAACUCUAACAAGUUUUUUUUUUUUUUUAAUUACGAAGAACUAGAAAGUGAGAAGAUUGGACUUAAGUUGCAUGUAUAUAAAAUUAUUAUAAAAAGUGACAUGAAUAUUUUUAUACAGGAUUUUUAUUUUUAUUUUUAUUUUUUUAUAAUGAAUUUUAAAAAAUAAUUAAUAGGAUAUCACUGGUUAUUUAUUAAACAUAAAAAAAUUUAUUUUUGAAAUCUUAAAUUUAUAUUAAUGUGGAAAAAAAUAAAGUUUAAAAAAUUAUGCUAUGUUUAUUUAAUCUUAAAUUAAAAAAAUAAAAUUAAAAAAAUUAGUGUUCACGUUAACAUGAACAGUGUGAGUGAAUAUUAAUUAAUUCAUUGUCUAUUUUUUAAAAAAAAAUAAAAUUUAAAAAAUUAUGCCAUGUUUAUUUAAUUUUAAAUUAAAAAAAGAAGAUAAAGAGUUCACAUUAAGAGUUUUUAAGUAAUUAGAUUAUGAAAACUUUUUUUGUUUUUUUGAACACAUCAAGAGCACUGAAAAACUAGUAAUAUUGUAACAUUAAAGCAUACGUUUCAGUAUUUAGUAUUGUAAAACUGGAAGUAAUUAUUAACAAUUAAUAAUUAACGGCACUACAUAUGCGAGCAGGCUGUCGUUUCUCAUUUUAAUUAUUUCAUCAGAAAUAACAUGUGCCAAUAAAUGUGAGGGUGCUUUUUCUGCUAGCUGCGGCAAGGUUUGUUGCCGACAGUGAUUUUGUUUUCUUUUUUUGUUUUUUUCCUCAUCUUACACUGUUAUUCAAAAUUUUUAGAAUUGUCGUUGCCCGCAUUUUAACUUUGGAUUUUAUUUUUGUUUUUAUCUCUUUUAUAAAAUCUUAAUUUAUUUUAAAUUUUAUUAUUUAAUUUUAAUUUGUGAUAUAUUAUUUUUUUCAAUUUAAUCUUUAUUUUUUUAAUUAUUUUUUUUUCAAGUCCUUUUGUUAAAUUGAUUUUUCUUUUUGGUUUCAUACUUCAAUCAAAAAUUUAUUUUAAUUUUUAUUUUAAUUUUGAUCCUAAUUAUUUUGAUUGUUUUUUUAUCCUUUUGUUAAAUUAAUUUUUCUUUUUAAUUUUAUCCUUCAAUCAAAAAUAAAAUUUAUUCUUUAUUUCAAUUUUGAUCAUCAUUCUUUUAAUUGUAACCUUUUGUUUUGGAUCCUUAUAUAUAAUUGAAAUUUCUUUUCUAAUUACAUCUUUUAAAAUUUGAUUUAUUGAGAAUUGAGUUUUGUGGUUUUUAGAUUGGGUGCUCGGAUUUUCUCUACUUAUUUUAUUUUCGACAUUGGUUUCUUCAAAAAGACUUUAAAAAUAAAUCAGUUAAAAUUAAUUAUAUUUUUAUAUAUUUUUAAAUCAUUAAUAUGUUAAUGUCAAAAAUAAUUUUAAAAAAUAAAAAGUAUAUUAUUUUAAUAUAUUUCUGUGCAAAAAAUACUUUGAAAAUAACCACCAUCACGCUUUCAAACACUUAUAUAAUGAACCAAGCUUACUAUUUUAUAUUUCUUUGUGGAGUAGAAAUCCAUCAAGUGAUCCCUCAAGUUUUAAAAAUUAGCUAAAUCACCCUCUUUAUUUCAAUUUAUUUUAGGAUUUCUUUUCUCUUUUUUGUUAUUAUAAAGGAGAGAUUCAAACUUAAAGCCUCUUAAAGGAGAGAAGACAGUGAUACUAAUUGAGUUACAACUCUCCUUUUUUAUAAGAAAAUAAAUUAAUAUGAGAUGUUAACCCUCGUGUUUUGAAUUUGUAGUCAAGCAUGUAUGGUCAACCCUGGCGACUACAAACUGAACUGUUGUGCCUAAAAUUAAAGUGUAAUGGUCGAUUUAAUCAAUUUCCAAAACUUGAGGUAUCAAGACAUGAAUUUACUUUUUAGAAGAAAAAAGAAUACAUCGAAUGACCCUUCUUGUCGUAGUUUUGAAACUCGGCCCGGCCCGGCGGGUUGACCUGGGGCUGGAACCGAUCCGGGUUAAAGAAAAAAUGGGGGAAGGAAAAACUCGGUGUGACCCGGCGGAUUGACCCGGCGACCCAGUCAAGACCCGGUUGCAAACCCGUUGACUUUUGCUUUUUUUACUAAAACGACAUCGUUUUGAUUUAAAAAAAACUGACCCAGCCAACCCGGUGAUCUGGUCAAAAUUCAGAACCCGAGCCUUAGACCGGACCGGCCACCUGACCGGGUCUUAAAACUACGCUUCUUGUUUUGAGAGUGAAUAAUCAUACUCGUAGAAGUUUGGAAGCAUUUCCAUUUAUUCCCAAAUAAUCAUGCCAUUCACAUAUACUUAUCGUGUCUACUUGUAAUGUAUAUGUAAUAGUGAAUGUACCCAUGCCACGCUUUUGGUGGAAUUCCAAGUUAAUUUCAAAUGCAAAAGGAGAAUAUGCAUGUACUAUAUUAUAGAUGUGUUUUUUAAUCUCAUAAAAUUUGUUAAUUAAGGAAGGAAGGUUUAAUACAAUGAAUUGAAAAAAAUAUAUUAAUAGGUAAAUAAAAAAAUUAUGAAUGUUAAUUAAACAUUUAAUGUUAUUUUUUAAAAAUAAGAAGUAAAAUACAAAUACAAAUACAAACAUUUUACAUCGAUAUUAUUUUUAUUUUAUUUAUUUAUUCUGAAGCUAUGAUUACUAAAUACAUAUGAAUUUUAAUUUUAUAAAUACAAAAUACAGAUAUAACUAAUCUAUCUUAAAUCUAAAAUCAAAAAUCAAAAAUAAAUUAUAAUAAUUUUUUUUUGAGGUAUUGCAAAAUUAUAGAAACCAACCAAAACUUUUAUUUCUAUUAAAAAUAGUCAAACUAAACAACUUUAAAAAUGAGAAAGAGGAAAUUAAUUAAGAAUUAAACUAGAAAAAAAAACCAAUGAAAAAAAAAAAAGUCAAGGUUACUGGACCUAGAAGACUAAGUCCACUCACUUAACCUAAAAAGAAAAGGCCUAUACGGCCCGGUUCUCUAUUUUUUUUUUUAAAGAUAGGUAACAUGUUUUCUUUUCAAAUAUUUUUUUAAUUAAUCAAACGACAUGUCAUCUAUCUAGAUCGACAACAUAUCAUUCAUCAUUAUCUUAUCUAAUCACCUUCAAUGAUUGAAAAAUUAGAGUUUGACUUUUUGUAUUCACAAAAACAAUUUUCAACUUGUUUUAUAAAAAACACCCCUAAAAUAUUUAAAACUUCCAUAAACUCAUUCCAACCUCAGAACAUCAUCUAAUCACUAUAAAAAAUGAAAAUCUAAUAUAAGAAUAAAAAUGCUUUACGGACCUAGUCAUCCUUUUCUAGCAUGUUUAAAGGGCAACAUACCACCUUCAUUCUAUUUAAAAUAAACCAAUUAACACCAAAAUCAGUCUUUUGUGUUCAUAAUAUGGCUUACCAUACCAUUUCUCUUUCCUUUACCUUUUUCCAACAACUUUAUCUCCCCUUCCUCUGCAUCCAAUGUCUGAAAUGUAAAAGAAAACAAAUUAAAGUUUAAGAUUGAAAUAUAAGAACCUAAAACAACAAAAUUCAAAUAUGCAAAAAUUUAAAAAAAAAAUAAGACAUUAAAGUGAAUUUUCUCGUGUCUUUGGAUAGUAAACACGAAGAAAAGGCUUUAUUUUUUAUUUAUUUUAUUUUUGGUAAUUAUUCUAACUUUUUUGAACAAUAACCUAAAAUUCCAUUUUAUAAAAUUGUUCUUUCAUGUAAUAUCAAAAUAUUCUUUAACAUCUCGCACACACGAAAGUAUGUGAAUAAAAAAAAUGUCAAAAUAUAAAAUCAUGAUAACAUAACUUUUGAGGACGAGAUUAAAAAAAAACUCUUAAUGAUCAAAACAAAAUGAACUAAAAACUUGAGGGUCCUAGAAUGAAAAAUUGUCUAAUAAACUGGGAAAUGAGUGUUGAUAAGAACAAUGAUUUCCUAGAAUUUUUUAGUUUAUUAAGUAAUAAUUACACAAAUAAAUAUUUUUUUUUUGGGUUACAACAAAUAGGUGUUUUAAUACUUAAAAGUUAUUCAAAUAUCAAAUGUAAGAUUUGAUAAGAUCCAUUCCUAUAUUUGAACAAAUUAUAUCUCUUUAAAUCAAAAUUAAUUCCUUAUGUAAUUUCCCACAUAACAAAUACAAGUUAUACAACAUAUGAAACAAGAUGAAUAUAACUUGCUUGGAUUAGCUUGAUAUGGAAGUAGGGAUGAUAAUGGAUGGAAUUAUAGUAAUUUACUUCCUAUGUUGUGUAUCUUUUCUAUUCGUUCAAAUUAGAUCAGAUUGAAGAAUUUAUUCACUUAUUAAGUAAUCAUUAUCCAUUCUAAUUUGUUUUUCUAUUUAAAAAUGAAUAAUUAUGUUAUUUUUAAAAACCAUAUGAAAUCACAUAGUUAAAGCAUUGAAAUAAAUAAAUAUUUAUUCAUAAAUCACAUUAAGAUAAAAUACAAUAAUAAAAAAAUGUUAAGUGAUAACAUAUGAAAAUCUCCAUUCCUCCCUUCAAGGUAAAAUCAAGUAUAAUUCAAUCCUUUUAUUUUAAUGAAACUAAUUAAUUAUCAUCAUGAGUUUAGAAACUAUAUAUUCAAUCUUAAAAUUUUAAAAUAUGUUUAUGCAUUAAUAAGAUGGACAAUCCAUAAUCCUUUUUUUAUCUUUCUAAAGCUCAUGAUUACACCUCUAAACACUAUAAGAACUGAGGUAUUCACUGUUAUCAAACAAAAAUAAUUUGUCACAGUAAAGAAAAAUCAAUUAAUCUUAAAAAAAUACUUCCCCAUUUGCCUCAAAUAAAGAUAUGUUUAUUGAACAAACAAGGUUUUUUAAAGAGAGGGCAAAGAUAUAGACUAAAGCCAUGAAAAGAAAACCAAUCGACCUCUAUGAAAUAUGUUUUCAUUUACUUUAAAGAUAAGAAAACUAUGUUUAUAAAACAAAUAAGGCCUCCAAAAGAGAGACCAAAUAUAUGGAUUGAAGCCGUAAAGGGAAAACUAAUUAGCCUUUAGGAAAUGCGCCUCCACUUUUCUUAAAGGUAAGAAAACUAUAUUCAUGGAACAUAUAAGGCCUCUAAAAAAUAGACUAAAGAUAUUGACUAAGGUUGUAAAAGAUGAAAAAGAAAUAAGUCUCUUUGAACAUGAUACUAGUGUAAUCAUUAAGAUUAGAUUUGCAUUAGACAUCGGGUAGGAGAAAGCCAUCACGAAGCUUUUUAAAAUUCAAAGGGCUAAUUUUACUUUUAAUCCCUCUGAUAUUCUAAGUAUAGGCUAGGAUGUGGUCUCCCAUAGAUCAAACGUCAAUUUAUCUCUCAUUGUUACUAGACAAAAAAAGAGUUUUAAAGGGAAAGAUAAAAGGUCAUAAUCGAGGAGGUAGAUAAGUUGCUAGAAGCAUGUUUCAUUUGAUAAGUAAUGUACUCUAAUUAGCUUGCCAAUAUGGUUAUGGUGAAAUAAUAGUCUUGAAAGAUUAUCAUGUCCUUUUUCAGUCGUUGAUCUGCACCCAUUGCAUCUCCUCGUUUGAUGCUAUUAUAGUAUAAGAACAGUUGGCUUGGAAAACUAGUUUUGAUGUGGAUUUUUUGCUCUAUAUAGCAGUAUGUUCAGUGCUGCAAAAUGGUUAUUAUUUCAUUCAGGCAAGAGUACAAAGGACAAGGUGUAAAGGGGGGGUUUGUCUUGUGUAAAGGAGAAAAGAGCGAGUUUUAAACCUUGCACACACACACAGAAAGAGAGAGAGAGAGAGAGAGAGAGAGAGAGAGCAGUUGCCCAUUCAUUCUGUCUCACGGGAAGUUGAAGACAAUCUAUAGUGCUUCCUAAAAUAUAUAUAUAUAUAUAUAUAUAUAUAUAUCAAAACGAGUCGUUUCAUUUAAAUGAAACAGUAUCGUUUUGACGCUUAAUGUUUGAAUUAGGUUAAUUCUUCUUUUUCAAUUUCAAUCUUCCAAUUUAUUCAAUUAGGUCUUUAAUUGAAUUUUAGGAAUCAAUUCAAUUUUACCCCUGUACAGUUUCAAAAACAUCCCCUGAUUUCAGUAUGUUUUUCAUCUUGGUCCUUGGUUUUGGAUUUAUAAAAAUUGAUCCUCAAUUGAUCAUUUAACAUUUGAUUUUCUUCAAUUUGGCCCAUGAUUUUAUCGAUUUCAGCCCCUGAAGUCUCGCGCCUCUAACAAGUCGAUCCCUGAUCUUGAAAUUCUUUGAUUUUGCUCUUAAUUGACUCCAAAACUUUAUUUUUCUUGAAAUGUUGUCCUUAUUUUCACCCAAAUGACUUUGUAGAAAUUAAAUUUUGUCCUUUAAAAUUCUAAUCUUCUCAAUUAAGUCCAAAUUAGGCUUUCAAUCUUAAUUUUUCAUCAAUGAAGUCUCUAGUAAAAUUAAAUUGACCCAUUAAAAAUCUAAUUAAAUCCUUGCACUUAAUUAAAUCUUUUAAUUUGACCCAAAUUAAUUCUUAAACUUAAUUAAACCUUUAAUUGGAGCCAUGAUUAAAUCAAAUUGACCUAUCAAAAGUCUAUUAAGUCCUCAUACUUAAUUUUUAUGUAAAUUCACCUAAUAGUCAUUUAAUUUGGCCUUAAUUUGUAUUGUCUCUCAGUCUUGGAUUCAAUUGGUUUAAUUGGGCUCCAAAUUAUGUUCAAAAUCCCAAUUUAAUUCCUCCAAGUGCUUGAAAUCCUUCUUAGCCUACUCUUACUAAUAUUUUUUAUUUUCAUUUUCAUUGUUAUUUUUUAUUACUUCUUAUUUUAUUUUAUUUUUUUGUAUUUUGAAAAUAUUUAGAAACAGGGAGUCAAAAAUUGGGUUAUAAAAAAACCAUAGUUUCCUUAUUUCUAUUUUGUGUAUCAGAUCUAGAACACCUUCUAAAACGUUUUGACACAAAUUAUUGAAAGAAUGCCCAAUUACUCUUUGUGAAAUACCUCGGUUUAAUCUUUUCCACUUUUCAAUGUCAUGUUAGAGCUAACUUUUCUAAUUACUUGUUUAUGGGUAUCGUACCACAAAUCAUGCAACCUGUUAUAGAAAUUUGUUAAACAAAAAAGAGGCAAGGAAAUAAAAGAAUACAAGUUUAUAAUAAUAUAACAUCAAUUAGUUUAAACAUACCUAGUUGCACAAUGGUUUUCCCACAGUCUUUUAACAAGUGCCUUGUUGCUAUUGUCCCACCAAAAAAAUUUCUUAAUUGAUUUCAUACAUUAAUUAGUUUUCAAAUUUUAAAAAACUAGUAACUCAAAAUAGAUAUUAUUUAAUUAUCUAACCUUAAACUUUCUCCAUCAAACAUUUACCAUGUUCAUCCAUUCAGGAUGCUUAUAAAGCUCACUCUAUUAAACAAUGGUUCUUUAAACAACCACUUCAUUGUAGAGGUUAUCGAACAUGCAACUUCAAUAUUGGUGAACUUGAAAACCAUUUCAUCAAUGUUAUUUUCAUGUAAUAUAAAACUUAAAAUAACUUAAUAGAAUAAAUAACUUCAAUAUUGAGAUAAAUAUUAAUUAUAUACAAUGGUCGCCUUUCCAUUAUGCAAUAAUUUUGUCUGAAAAAGGCCCUAACAAAGUAGGGAUGCCUACUAUGUUAUCCUUAUUGGUUGAGCCUUGAUCGGUAACUUCUACAUUAAGUGGUGUGUCCUUAUAAUCAUCAUCUAUAUUAGCAACACAAUCACCGACACUAAUACUUGAUAAAGUAGUAGCGCUCUUAUUAGACUUAGACAUAUUUCUUCUUGAAUAUAUGGUACCUAAAAAGAAACAAUAACAUAAUGACAACACAUACUCAUGGAAUUUAAAUUCAAACUCAUACAAGCCAAAUUUUAUUUUGUCAAAUUUUCUAAUAAACAUGCUAAGAAAAUUAACACACAAAGAGAGAACAUAAAACAAAAACUAAAAUAUUCAAAUAUGACUCUAUAACCAUAUCAAAAUAGCAUCUCACUUCAUCAAAAAACCAAUUAUUACAUUUCCUUUCAUAGAUAACACAUCUAAAUUAGUAAAAGCCUUCACCUUUUUAUUUGUGCUACUCCACAACAAGUACAUUUAAGGAAUCCAAAUCAAGCAAAAAAUGAUAACAUUAUCCCUACAUAUAAAAAAACCAUAAUUUCUCAUUUUUCCCGUACUUUCUUAGCUACCAAACAAAUAGGUUACUUACAGAAACAACAAAAAAUAAAUUAUAUUACUAAAAACAAUCUCUACCCCCUCAAUCACCUAAACUUAACCAUAAAUUAUCUUCUCUUCACUUCACUAUUGUCAUAACCCAUUUUUGGGUUAUUUCCUAAUUCAUAUUUUUUUCUCUCUUCAAAAAAUACAAAAAAAUAAAAAAUAGUAUCAAAAAAUAUAACAGUGAAAAGAGGAUGCUAGAACACUAAAAAAAUGGUUAAAAAUUGGUUGAGGAGGUUCAAAACUACAAAGGUUAAAAUUUUACGGUAUUUUGUUGAUUGAUGAGAGCCCUGUUGACAAAGAAAAUUCAAUUUGAGGAUGAAAAGUCCAAAAUCAAACAUUUAUGGACUCAAUUAAAUUUUAUUGAAGGUUUAAUUGAAUUUAUGGAGAAUUUGAUUGCAAGAAAAAUUGAUUUUUGGAGUGAAUUUGGGCUUUAAUUGGAAGAAAUUAAAGUUUUGUGGUCAAAUUAUAAUUUUUUAGAGUUAAUUUGGUCAAAUCAGGGGCUUAAUUGCAUAAAUAUUGAAGUUUGAUGGUCAAUUAGAGACUUAAUUGAAGAAAUCAGAAACCAAGGACCAAAAUGAAAAACACGCGUAAAUAGAGGGGCUGUAAUUAAACCGAAUCAGGGGCCAAAUUGAAGAAAUUAGAGUUUAUUGAUCAAUUGAGGGUUAAAUUGCAUAAAUUAAAGACCCAAGACCAAAGUGAAAAUGGCGGCCAACUUCAGGGCCACUGUUUUCUUUUUGGCAGGGAUGCAAUUGCAUUAAUUUUUAAAUCAAAAUUGUAAUUGAGGACUUGAUUGAACAAAUCACAAAUUGAGAACCAAUGUGAACUCUGACACGUUUUUUUUUGCCGCCUUUUCCUUUUAAAUGAAACGGUGUGUUUCUUCUAAAACGGCGUCAUUACAUACACUAUUCAUUAAAAAAGAAGCAAAAAGCUCAAAACGGUGUCGUUUUGAACGACAGUGUAGCCUUUCUUGUUCCCCUGGACGCGCGAGGCAGGGGAAGAAGAAGUCUUUUCUCCCCUGCUUUGCUCGUUCCCUCUUUCUCCGAAACCACCAAAAAGACGCCGACCCAAAACACCCCACUUGCCUAAGUUCUGACCUGUGGCCUACCACGAGGUAAAGAAAAACAGAGGGGAUGCACCACUUGGGCGGUUGUGAGGUCGCUGCACAGUGGUCGCCCCUGCCUCUCUCUCCCCUCUGUUUUACCUAUAAAUACAGAGGGGGAGAGCACAAAAGGAGAGCACGAAAAGGACAGGGGGAAAGACCGAAAGAAAGAAAAAACAAGAAGACCCAAAGAGGAAGAAAGGUUGGAAGAACAAGAGAAGAAAAAAAAGAAAAAAAAGAGAGAAAAACAGGGGAAGACAAGGGGGAAGAAACUGUCCACCGCCUGCAACCACCACCGGCCACCACAGCAUGCCAUCGCGAACCACCAGCAGUGCCACCGCUUCAGGUAACUGGCUCUUCCCCACCGUUUGUUUCUUUGCCGGCGUCGCUUGCAUUUUUGUAUACAGAAUGUUAAUAUUUCACGUUCUGCUGCAAAAUGCAACGUGGGCUGGUCAUUAUGCUGAUGCACAGUAACCAGCCCAUUUGGGCAUGGGCCGAGACAUCAGCCCAGCCCAUAGUAGAUGGGUUGGAUCCGGCCCAGCCCAGAAGGGGGUGGGCCAAGCCCAACCCAGUUUUUUUGGGAAUUUUACUAUUUCCUAUCUUAUUUUUACGUCUUUUUUUAUUAGUAUCGAAAUAUUUUUUUACGUCGUUAAAAAUACAAAUCCGGUAUUAAAAUACCUAGUUUUCGUCAACUUAAAAAAAAAUUGAAAUAAAUGUUUUUAUGCAUACGUCCAAGUGUCUCAAAGCUAAAAAAUCAUAUUGUGUUUUUCAUACACCAAAAAAACAAUGUUAUAGCAUGCAUUUUGGCUUUAAUAACCAGUUUAUUAAAGUCAAGAGAACAUUGACCAAAAUAUAAAAAAAAAAGAAUUUAUUUUGUGUUGUUUUAGUAUUAAGGAUUACGAAUUUAUAUGUAAAACAUAUUCCCGAUAUUAAAAAGGUAUUUUCUUUUGACGACAUAGAACAGUUAGGUUUUUACCCGAUAAGAUAAGGAUCUCCUUACAGAGGAGGACUUUUCUUAAAUCGUAGACAGACCGACAAUUAGAAACCAUAACAAGACUUUAGAUUUUAUCAGACAACAAAACAAUGCAGCUUACCUUAGAUAGCGCGUAGUUGGAGUGCUAAUACCUUCUCUUUACGCAACCAGUCUCCGUACCUGAUCUCCGAGACCAGUUAGGGUUCUUAGUGACCAGAACACUAGGUGGCAACUCUCAUUCUAUUUUUACUGAUAAGAGACAAGAAUUCCUUGUAUCUUCAUAUUUGCCAGAUAGACCUAUAGACCAUUACAUUUUUCUUUGAGUGGGUGGACGAUCGUCGCAACGCUGAACACGUGCGACAACUAUUUAACCAACCAAGAAACCAUUUUUGAUACUUAAACAAACUCUUUUACGAAGAUCUCAAAAAUUCACUAAUCUCUUUUUCUUAGUUAGCUAAAUACUUAAACUAUAAAUUAUAAAUCAUUACCCCACUUUUCCACCAACCAACCAAGAACCCAAAUCAUCAAUAAAAAUAAUCCUCCACUAAACCAAGUAAAAAAAUAAACAUUUAAAACAAUACCUAAAAUUCAAAAAACAAUCUUCCUAUAUUACCAACAUGCAAAAAUUAACAAAACCCAUAAAAACCUAAAUCACAUAAACCAAAUAGCAAAUAAAUUACCUUCAAAUCGGGUAAAAACCAUAACCUAAACUUAGGAUUUAACAAUGCCAAGUCCUAAGUUUAUUAAAUGAAGAAGAAGAAAUCAAACCUCAGAUGGGUAGAAAAGAGGUAUUGUCGACGUCGGAUGUGUGAGUGGGGUAGGGGUAAGAUAGUUACUGUUGUUGUUUUGAUGAUAAUGAAUAAGAAAAAGAAAAAGAAGAAGAAAAAGAAAAAGAAAUUGGAAGAUGAGAGGAACUCUGAGUUUUAAUUCAUUUUAAAAACAUCAAUGAAAAAUCAUUUAGCAAUUUAAAAAUAUUAAAAUACCAAUGUAAUUGUCGACAAAAUAUUUUUAUUUUUUAUUCCGUUUUUGUUCCCAUAAAAAAUUAUUGAAGAAAAUCUUUCAUCGUAAUUUCCAUCAGUAAAUAAUUAUGAAACAUUUUUUGUCAUGUUUUUGUUAUUAGUGCAUGCCCACAUCUAUUUGUUUUUGUUACUAUUCUCCAAUUUUUUAGUGGUGUAUGCUCACGUCUAUGAGCAAGUUGGUUUGUUUUUGCAAGUAUAAAUACUUCAUGAAAAUGUCCGGCAAGGGAGGACACAAAAAAAGAAAUAGAUAGACUCCUACAAGGAGAAAACAUUCUCAUGUGCGGAAAGGUCCAGAAUCCAUCAAGGUUUUCAGCAAGGAAGGAAGAUGAUAAAAACUCUUGCUUAAAAUGAUUCAUGCAUGCAUGUCAUAUAAAAAAGAGAAAAGAAGAGAAAACUCUUUUGAGAGACUACGACCGUGUCUUCAUCACAAAAUUGAAAAUUGAUUAUCAUCUUUAUAAAUUUAAGAACUCGAGGUCAGUCUGUGAAUUUAAUGGAAAUUAAUGCAUGAAAUUAUUGAAAAAGUAUAUAUAUAUAUAUAUAUAUAUAUAUAUAUAUAUAUAUAUAUAUAUAUAUAUAUAUUAAGGCAAGAGACGAUAUACAUGUAAAUACUCUUAUAUACUAUUGUAUAUAGGAAAUAUUGUAGACAUACUCUUGUGUGGUAACCUCCGCCAUUACUAUUGUAUAUUGCCCUACAUAUAUAUAGAAAGGGUUGGCUAACCAUUAAGUUAAGCCUUCUAAUUAUUCUCAACUUGGUAUCAGAGCCUUUUGCCGUCAGAACUCCUUUCUCCCUCCCUCCCUUUGCAGCCGGCCCUCUCUCUCUUUUUCCUCCAUGGAUUCUACAGCUGCCGCCAACUUCCCUCUCUCCACCGGUGGUGCAGCACAGCCGGCCAGCCAUCCCCAAGCUGCUGCCGGUGGUAUCUUUUCUCCCUAACAGCAGCCUCCACUUGCAGAGCAUGUCUCUGAUUCUUCUUCACAAGUCUCUGUCGUUCCUUUGCCUCUCAUGGGAACACACACUCCAGCUAUCGUUCCUUUAUCAAACACCCACCAAGUUGUUUCGUUGAAACUUAUAAACACAAAUUAUCUCUAUUGGCGAAUGCAGAUGAAGCCAUAUCUCCUUGGUCAAGGUGUUUUUCACUUCGUUGACUGCUCCGUGCCGUGUCCUCCAUCUCAUAUUUUUGACAGUUUUGCUGGUUCUUCAUCUACCACCAGCCCUUCUUUUCUUCGUUGGAAGCAACAAGAUCAACUUAUUUUGAGUGCUUCACUCUCCUCUCUCUCUGUGGAUGUGUUGCAUCUCGUGGUAGAUUGUUCUACCUCGCAUUGUGUUUGGCGCACUUUUGAGAAAGUGUUUGCCUCUCCGUCUUAUUCUCGCAUCAUGCAACUCCAUGGCUCCUUUCAAGACCUUCGUCAAAGUGACUCAAAUGCACACCAUAUAUAAAUGUGUGUCAUUCUUCUUAAGAAGUACUUUAAGAUAUUAAUUAUUCACUUUGAAAUUCUUAAAUAACUUGUAAACCUCCAACACCAUGGGCCCGGGGGGUGUUUGGAGGGAGACUUACAAGUAUGGGCUCUAUGACAAUGGAGGAAUGGUGGUGGGAAUGAUAGCGAAAGUAGAGAUAGUGGUGAUGAAGAAGUCGAUAGAGCCAAUAAUACAGAAAUUCCACCGGACCCGUAUGAAUCAGAGCUGUUAUAAUUACACCAUUUAACCUCCACAUGGGGAGAUAGCUAGCUCCUGGAAUUUUUUUGCUACCAACAUAGAUCCUGGAAUUUUUUUGCUACCAACAUAGAAUAAAAUUCCAUUGAACAAUAUUUGGUCAUCCCUGCGCAGAUAUCCAGCUAGAGAGUGGAAAUUAAUGCAUGAAAUUAUUGAAAAAGUAUGUAUAUAUAUAUAUAUAUAUAUAUAUAUAUAUAUAUAUAUAUAUAUAUAUAUAUAUUAAGGCAAGAGACCCUAUACAUGUAAAUACUCUUAUAUACGGAUAGUUAUUAUGUGUAAUACAUUCCAAAUUAUAUUGUACACAACCCUAAAGGUAUACUUCAACAAUCUGCUGCCGCUGCAUCAGCACUUCGGUCUUCUUUCUCCCCUGUGGCGCAAUCAGUUAUCUAUGGCGUAUCCACUACUGCUGCCAUCAUACCUAUUCUUAAAACACACCAGGUAGUCUCUUUAAAACUCUCCAACACCAAUUUUAUGUAUUGGAGGAUGCAGAUGAAACCGUUUUUUUAGGCCAAAGCGUGUAUUCCUUCGUUGAUGGCACAUCAUUAUGUCCUCCUUCACAUAUGGCAUCUACUGCGACAUCAGCACUCUCUGUCAACCUUGCAUAUUUGUCAUGGAAGCAGCAAGAUCACUUAAUCAUGAGUGCCCUCCUAUCUUCUGUCUCGGUGGAAGUUCUGCACUUAGUUGUGGAUUCUAACACCUCUCAUGACAUUUGGACAACGCUGGAAACAACUCUUGCCUCUCCUUCAAAUUCUCGGAUUAUGCAACUUCACGACCCAUUCCAAGAUUUACAACAGACUGAUGAUUCUGCCAGCAUCUACUUGCAGAAGGCAAAGAUCUUAUUUGAUGAACUUGCUACAUGUCAUGUGCACCAUUAAAACCCAAUGUUUCAAGCAUUUGACUUGUAAUCAAACGGCUAUCAAUAUUCCAUCCUUUAGCAUACUUGAGGGUAUACCACUAGUUGCCCGCAAGAUCUGUGUGAAGACUCCGAGACAUAGUGAAGAGGAUAUUGUUUUGUCACUGUGUAAUAUAAUCUGCCUCAUUUCUUGGCCAUUGUUAUUAGCAUGCUAGUUUUAUUUCGAAGAAAGCAAGCUCUGCUUCCUAGUAAAAGUUUUUCUUUAUAGUUUGAAUAAACCUCCAUUGCUAGGUUAAAGUGAACCAAACCAGCAGAAACGAACUAAGUGAUUACAUUGAAAAGCCCGUAGAUUGCAAUGUUUUUUUUCUAGAAAUGCUAGAGAGCUUCCCAACUCUCUUUCUUUUUUCUUUUCAUUUUUGUCUUUUUUAAAAUAAAAAAAUUCCAUCCUGAAACGUUUUUUAUUGAAUUAUUUUUUAUGACUAAAUUCUAUGAGAUAAAGUUUUAAAAAGUUGCGGAAAGAUAAAAUUAAAAGAGAAAGGAUAAUAAUGUAAAACAUACAAAAAAUACGUGGUUAGUCUCAAAGUUUUUAGAAUUUUGAUUUUGAUCCAUAGAUUCAUUUUUUUAUUAGAUUUGACAUCUAAGAGAGAACAUUAUCGAAAAUGGCAAAUGAGAGAAAAAGUUGUCAAUUGACCAUAUUCUAACAACAAAAAAGCACAAUCUUGGUAUUAACGGUUUCAUUCAAUAGAAAGAUUUUCAUUGAAGUGUUUUUUCACCUUAAUUUAUCUUUUCAAAAAAAAUAGAUCAAGGUUGUGAGAUGAUUUUUUACCAUUUUGAUUUUAUGUUUUUAAAAGUGCUUUGCGUUGAUAGAUAGUUUAUUGAUAUUAUAAGGAUGUUUAUUAGGUGUUUUCAAAUGAAAAUAGGUUGGAAAAAUAAAUUAUUGAGUCGAAAAAACCCUAACUAGAUAUGAUUGGAAACUAAGCAAGUAGAUAAUGCGCAUUGUCUACUUUUAUUUUAUUUUUUUUAAAUGGGCCAGGCAUUGGGCCACAUAGACCCAACCACCUAGCCUUUGUAUAUUUGAUUAUACUUUUUUUUUCUAAUUAAAUUUUAUGAAAAUAAAUAAAUUCAAAAUAUCAUUUUCAAGAAUAAGAUUAUAGUUGUUUUUUAUAAAAUUAACAAGCACUUUUUUUUACAACCCUUUGUGACUUGUAUAUAUUUUUUUUCUUAAAUUUUGAUUUUGGGAUUUUUUGCGCAAUUGUUUUUUAUUAUCACAUGAUCGCAAAAAAAAACAUAGUCAAAAUGUUUUUGAUGUAUUAUUUUUAUAUUUUUGUAAUACAUUCGAGACCUAAUAAUGAAACCAUCGAUUAUUGUUUUAUUAGAUUUUUCUUUUACGACCCUAAUAAUUUUUUGCUUCAUAAAAUAACAUUUUAAUAAAUACUUUUCCAAAAAAGAAAUUGAAUUAAUAAAAUAAAUAGGUUUUAAUUAAAAGGAUGUUGUUUUUAUCAUUAUUUUGAAUCCCUUAUAGCCUAUUAGAUAUUUAUUUUAAUGGCCUUCGGAUUUUAUUAAAUGAAGUAUAUUGCUUAAAAAGCUAUGUUUUUUUGUUGAAAAAAAUAGAUUAGUAAAAAAAUGAAUUAUAUUAGAAAAAUAUUUAUUUCAAUAAAAUUUAAAUUAUUUUAUUUUUUUAUAAAAAAAUCAUUACAUAUAAUGACUUAAAAAAAAUAUAAAUUGUUUUAUAUGGCACGAGAUUUAAUAUAUUAAUCUGUAUUUAUUUCUCAGUUUUCCAAUUUAAUUUUUAAUAUUUAGUUAUAUAUAAAUUAUUUUUUAAAUUAAUUAAUUAAAUGCAUGUAUUAAAUUCUUACACGUAACAAAUUUUCUUUAAACUAAAAAAGCUCAAAUUAUAAAAUAAAUUUUGAGCCGAGGCGAGCAAAUUUGGCCGGUGAAUUACUAUAUAACAAUUUAACUUCAUACAAUGUCGUGCUUCAAAAAUUCCAGAUGUCAAGUCCAAGAACGUUCUGAUUAUUGUCUGAAAAAUCAAAAUCACUCCCUCUUCUUGCAACAACAUAUUGACCCCACCUUAAUAUUUUCUUUGGAGGGCAGCCAGGCUUUCUCAGUGUUCCAUUUAUCUUUUCUGUGAUGUAAAUUCUCCAUGCACCAUUUUUAUCAAAUUCCUACAAUACCCAUGUCGGUUUUGUAGCAUAAUGUUCCACAUCAAAUUCAUGGUUAAUAUAUUUUAGUUAUAGUUUUGUUUUGUAAACUAAUUUUUAUUUAAAAAGUAUUAAAUUAAUGUUUUUUAAUAUUUUUUAUAGUGUUAAAUCAAAAAUUAAAACAUCUGAAGAUGGGCAGAUCUGAUAUCUCUCAUUGGACAAAGAAACAGGUACACACAUAUCUAUGCAUUUAUAUAAUCUUCAAUCAGAGCAAACUAAAGAGUUCUUUAUUCGUUCAUUGAUUGAAUGGGAUGAAUGUAUCAUAUAUUCCUUGCUUAAUGUUCAAGAUUUGCAAUCUUAUUAAAUCACUUUUUUCUUAAUUAUCAGGUUGUGGAUUUCAAACCAAGCAUAAAUAUAGAUUUGGGUGGUUUAGCAUGAAGCUGAAAUUGGUUGGAGGUGACUCUGCAGGUGUUGUGACAUGACAGCUUAUUAUGGAAGUCUUUCUUCUACCGCCCCAUACGCUCAAAAUGCCUUAAAGAUUCAUGGCUGUGAAGCUUAAUCAAAGACUUCAUAAAUAUUUUAACUAUUUUUUUGUACUUAAUUCUAGCUUGACAGCAAGUACAGGAAAUUAUCAGGGACGGAGGCUAAAGUGGAUUCAUCUGUUUUUUUGCAGAUGUGUACAGAGAAUGGGGCAGGGCCAACAAGAGAUGAGCUGGACUUUGAGUUCUUGGGGAAUAGAACUGGAGAACCCUAUUUGAUUCAAACAAAUAUAUACAAGAAUGGUACUGGUAACCGUGAAAGGAGGCACAUGCUUUGGUUCGACCCUACCGAGGAGUUCCACACCUAUUCCAUUCUCUGGAACAAUCUACAGAUAGUGUAAGUCCUUCGAUUCUAUGCUACAGCUAGAUCAAGGCACCUGAUGAUUCAAGUUUUCAUGCUGCAAUCUUGCACAAAAGCAAAAGCAAAAAAGAAAAUGGCAAAAACAGUAGAUUAAAGGGCUGGUUGCGUCCCGGUGUGUUUGGUAACGUAGAUGUUUUUCCAUUGAAAAUGCAUAUUACAAUUAUGUUUUUAUAUUAACACAUUAAAAAACACUUAAAAACAUCAAUUUAAUAUCUCUGAGACGAAAAGCAAUAGCUACUGCAGGAAGAGAUAAACAUUGUGGGAACAGUCAAUAAAUAAGCCUCAGAGAUUUGCUUGCAACUUGGGUUCGAUGGACAGUGACACUGACUUGGAUUUUUCAUACGCUAAGCAGGUUUUUUGUUGAUAAAGUAGAGCAAUAAGGGUGCCCAAGAACAAUGGAGAACCAAAUAAUUUCUUCCCCAAUGAGAAGCCCAUGUACCUAUUUUCAAGUAUCUGGAACGCCGAUGAUUGGGCUACUAGAGGAGGGCUAGAGAAGACAGACUGGAAAAAGGCCCCAUUUGUGUCCUCUUACAAGGACUUCACUGUUGAAGCUUGUCAAUGGGAAGAUCCAUACCCUGCCUGUGUAUCAACAACGACUAAAUACUGGUGGGAUCAAUACGAUGCUUGGCAUCUCUCAGAUGAACAGAAAAUGGACUGUGCCUGGGUCCAAAGAAACCUUGUGAUCUAUGAUUAUUGCAAAGACACUGAAAGAUUCCCAGCGCUGCCAGUGGAGUGCAAAUUGAGCCCAUGGGAUUGAUGGGCAAGUGAUGAGUUAAUUGUUAUUCUUCAGCAUCAUAUAUUUUUUCUAUUUCCUUUUUGUCUUUUUCUUGGUUACCAUUUUGAGAUGGGUAUAAAUCACAAUGUAUUUUUCUGCCAGCUAUUCUAUUUCACUAUUGCACAUCUAUUUAAUUUAUUCAAUUAUUUAUAUUCAAUUCAAAUAUAAAUUCCUGUACUUUGUCCAUCCUGUAAAGUGUUUUUCUCUAUCUUCUUAAACUCCAAUAAAAAUAUAAUCAAUGAAAAACACUUCGUAGAAUAACAGUUUUAUUUUUAUUUUGGGUAGAAUAUAUUUUUUAAAAGUUAUAAGAUUUUAAAAAUAUUUUGUUAUAUAUGUUGAUUAUAUUAAAUUUCACCUAUAUAUAUUUUGUUUUGAAUUAUUUAUUUAGUUAUUAUUUUUUCAAUUUUGUCUCUUAAAAUUUGAUUUAACUUGAUUUUUAUAUUAUCUUGGGUUCUUAUUUUUUUUUAUUGUUAUUUGUUUUUCUUCUAUCCUUUUCUUAAUUGAAUUUUUUUUAUCUUGUUAUUGGUUUCUAUUCUUUUGAUAUUUACUCGUCUUUUAAUUUUUUUUUCUGUCAGAUUUGGUCCUUAUUUUUUUAUGACUAUUUUUUUAUUUUAGAUAAUUUAUGAAAUUAGAAUUUUUUUUAAUUUCAUCCUCCAAAUUUUUCAUCAAUUAAUUUUGAUCCCUAUUCUUUAAUAAACUUGAAAAAUAUUUAAAAAUAUUAAUAAGUUAUUUUCUAACUUAUUUUUCAUGGCAUAGCUAAAUACUAUAAAAUAUUUUCCAACUUAUUUUUCAUGGUAUUGUCAAAUAUAAAAAAAUAAUCUACUUUUUAAAAAUUUACUUUCCAUGAAAAAUAUUUUUUUUAAAAAAAAAACACUUUCCGAUAGAUAAAUUAGGCAAGUAGAAGGAUUUACAGUAUAUCGUUUUUUGGCAACCCACUAAUAGUUCUUGUAUCUUGAUUUUCUAUUUUUAUAUUUUAUUUUUAAAAAGUGUUCAAUAUUAUUUCAAUGUAAAGCCACUUAGACGAAAAGGGUACAAUGUAAGAAUAAAUAGCAUAAUAAAGUAGUUGACGUAAAAUAAAUAAAAAUAAUAUAUCCUUCUUUUAAUUAAAAAAAAAAAUCAUUCUCAUUUGUUAUUUUUAUUCUCACCUUCCACUAUGAAAAUAAAAUUAGAUUUAAUUUUUAUUUUCAUUUCGAUUUUGUUCUUUUAACCAAAUAGGCUCUAAGUUUUAUCAAUUUCUAAAAGAAACAUUCUUGGACUAACCGACUAUGAAUUUGGCUUAAUCAUCAAAACAUGAGGGCUACCUCAAUCGUUUGGUGGUGAGAUUUAUACAGUAUGCAGUCGUGCCUACACAAUUAUUCUUAAAAAUGAUGCAACUUACAAGUCCUUUUUCAAUUCUCUCAAAAGAGAAAAGGAAUACUAUAUUUUUUUUUAUAUAGUUGACGAUUAUAUUAUUUGAUGGCCUAUCAAAACAUACCUUCUAGAUUUUUUAAAUUGUUUUUUCCAAUUUUUUUCAAGUUAUUAUACUAUCUACAUUGGUCGGCGCUUCAUUUGACCAUUCGCUAAUGAUCAUCCGGUGGCUUCUCUCUAUAUAUAUACAUAUAAAAUUGGAAAAAAUAUUGCUUAAAUAUAUAAUUUAGGCCGCCUCUGUAAGCUUUAAACUUGUAGAUAUGGGGGGAUCAUGAGUUUGACUUUUAUGUUUUCCAAUCUCCGUUUCUUAAAAUCUUUUUAAUUCCAUUAUUGAUUUUUGAAAGACCCAGUUUUUUGUUUAACUAUAUAAAUACAAAACAACUCAAGUAAACCAUCUGAAGAAAUUCCCGUCAGUUUGGAAUUGUUCGAGUCGUAAAUAUAUAGUUAUCUUCCAUGAAAUUGAUGUGCUAGGAUUUUCCAAAAUGUUGGAGAGCAUACAUAGUCAAAUAGAAUUUUAUAUGGUUUCAAGGGUGAUUUAUUUGACGAGGACAUAAAUUAUUUAAUUUAAACAAAUAAUGACCAAGAACAGAAUAUGAAGAAUUAAUUAGCACUGGUCAUCGACACAUAUAUGUGAUCCUUUCACACCACAUAACCUUCAAUUUCAUGCUAUAAAUACUACCUCUCCUCCUCUUGUUUCAGCAUCACAAAAACAUCUUCCAAAUCAACAAAAUCUCUCCCCCCCUUCUCAGUCUUUUAGAAUCCCAAGUUAAAAUGGGUGUCAUCACUUUGGAAAACGAGUUUGCUGUUGCUGUCGCCCCGGCCAAGCUUUUCAAGGCAUACUGCCUUGAGACCGACACUCUUUUGCCUAAAAUUCUACCAGAGCACAUUAAGAGCUCUGAGAUAAUUGAAGGAAAUGGAGGGCCUGGAGCCAUCAGGAAGAUCACUUUUGCUGAAGGUUAGUAUAUUAUAUGUUGCAAUUACUUUUAAUUAUAUUAACUAUAUUGAAAUCAGCAUAACACUCGCUAUAUCUACCGCACAAAGAAGUAACAAAUUGAUUUUGCACUUGCAGGAAAAGAUCUCAGUUAUGCCAAGCAGAAGAUUGAGGCAAUUGACGAAGAGAACUUGACCUACAGCUUCAGCUUGAUUGAAGCCAAUGUUUGGAAGGAUGCAGUUGAAAAGGUGACUUAUGAGCACAAGUUCGUGGCAACUCCUGAGGGAGGUUCCAUUUGCAAGAGAACCAGCACAUAUUACAUCAAGGGUGAUGCUGAGAUCAACAAAGGCCAAAUCAAGGACGUGUAUGGCAAAAAGACCGCAGGCUUGUUGAAGGCUGUUGAAGCCUACUUCUUGGCAAAUCCAGAUGCCUAAAUAUGAAAAUUCCCAUGUGUGUGUGUGUGGCCUUUUUCUUGGUUGUCUUUGGCAGUGUGGUUAUUGCCUUUUCUUCUUCCUUUGGGUAAAUUUUCCAUCCUUGUUACUGGCAAAAAAAAAUUGAGAGUACAGAAGUAUAUCUUCUAUUACUUUAAUAGUAUUUGAUUAUGUGGUCAUUUGGUUAAUUGUAUUGAAGCAGUUCUUUUCAAUAGUUGAUGUUAUUGGUAUUGUUUUCAAAAUACAUAAUAAAAAUCACCAUGUCAUCAAGUGUUUACUUUGAAUCGAUGUAUCGAAGGUUUUCUUUAUACAUAAUCUGUUUUCUUAAAGAGCACUUGAAUUUAUGGACCUUUCCCUCCUUCCUCAUUUUUUUUUUCAAAUGAUAAUAUAUUGAAGAGCAAAAACAUUUGUCAUGCUGGUUAUGCACGCAUAAACUAUCCUUUUGGAAAGAUUUUAUGUUUGUAAAAUCCAACGAAUAGAAUGUAUGCACGUAAGAAAAUAAUUUAUAUGACCAGGGGGUGGUUAAAUGAUUUUCUUAUUCAAACUUCACUUUCUCUUUUAUUUUUUUUAUGUUAUUUUCACAUCAAUAAUAAUAAUAAUAAUAAUAAUAAUUAUUAUUAUUAUUAUUAUUAUUAUUCUUUUUUAAUAAAAAAAAUAAUAAUCUUAACACUUCCUCUCUAAGUUGGUGCAUAAAUAUCACAUAUGCCUAACUUGUUUAAAGUUGAGAAUAAUUAGCAGGCUUAAUCUAUUGGUUAGCCAACCCUUUUUAUAUAUAUAUAUAUGUAGGGCAAUAUACAAUAGUAAUGGUGGAGGUUACAACACAGGAGUAUAACUACAAUAUUUCCUAUACAGUAUGCCUACAAUAUUUCCUAUAUAGAUGCAUUAAUAUGCCCCCUCAAAUUGAGGGUGAAGGAUCAGCCCGAAACUUGAAAUGAAAAGUUGUAAAAAAAAUAGUAGGAAGUGGCUUAGUAAAGACAUCUGCAAGUUUAUCCUGAAAGGAAAUAAAAUGAAUCUAGAUCUCCUUCUUCACAACUCUAUCUCGGACAAAACAUGAGGGCUACCUCAAUCGUUUGCUGGUGAGAUUUCAAGUUAGAAUUUGGCUUCAUGAGUAACCGACUACAUCUGAUCCGAUCCAUUGACUUGGAUUACUGAGAUUUUGGAUGGUGAGAUAAUACACACACACACACACACUUCAGUUGAAUGUCUAAACUUAGAGUCACAAUAUUGUUAAGGUUAUUGAUAAGAAAAAUCCUAUUCAGGAAGUUUUUCAGAUAAAACUUCCUUAUGAUCUGCAGUCAAUCCUGCAUAAUAUGGUGCUAUAAUUCCUUAAGAAUAUCUGUUAUGAUUAUGUACAACUAUAAACUAAAUUAGCUCCACAUUUAUCUUCUUCUUUUACUCUUUUAUAAUGUACUCCUAUAUAUAAAUACAAACUAAUGUACAAUGUUUAAGUUGAUCAGAUAAGAAUCAUACAAAAACAUUCUUCUCCUAACUUGGCAUCAGAGUCAUUAUAGCUCACAGAUACCUUUUCUUUGAUUCUGCUUCCACAUAAUGUCUUCUUUAUUACCUUUACAUGAUAUCAACAACCCUCUCAAUCUUUCUCAUACCUCACCUCUAUCAUCCUUUAAACUUGAUGGAUCAAAUUAUCUAAUCUGCUAGUCCCAAUUUCUAUCAUUUCUAAACAGUAAUGAUCUUCUAGUGUUCGUUGAAGGUUUUGACCCUGUCACUGGGAAAACCAAUGCUGAUAAUUCACCCAAUCCCUCUUAUACAACAUGGUAUAAGAAAGAACAAGAUCUAUUGGGUAUUAUAUUAUCAUCUCUUAGUCUAAAUUUUGUUAGAAUAGUGUAUGGUUUAACCACAUCCAAACAAGUCUAGACUGCUCUUAAGACUAGAUUUUCUAAUCAGUCACAAUCUCAUAAUCUAUGUUUGGAUUUGUCUUUUAUGUUGUGAUCCGGUCUUAUGAUCAUUAUCACAAGUUUUAAAGGUUGAGUCAGGUUGGCUUCGGUCAUUUUUAUUUUUUUUAUUUUUAAUUUCAUCUAUCAUCAUUAGAUUCGUUGGUAAUUUGUAUUUUUUUUUUUUUUUUGCCUUUUCUUUCUAUAAAGUUAUUCUAAUAUCAUGUUCUAAGUUAUGGAUUUAGCAAGUUUACUGGGUUUGACUUGGUCUUUUUUUUCAUUGCUUUUUAAGUUUUUUUUAAUCUCGAGUCAAUGACCAGAAUCUUAAAUAUUUUUUUAAAAAUGUUUGCGUCAUCUUGAUGUUUUUUUCUACAAUGAAAAACAAAUAAAUAGACUCGUGGUAUAGCGCUGGACACCUAUCUAGUAAUAAUCUAAAAAUUAAUAAUAUGAUAAUCUAAAACUGAUAAUAUGAAAUGAAGUGUUAGUGAAAAUGAUACACUCAUAUGCGAAAACAUACAAAUACAUUUUGAUCUUAAAUAGACAAGAAAUUUAACCAUAGUCUUAUUAUUACAAUUUGAUCCUUUGGUUUUAAAAAUAUACAAGCACAUCAAUAUUUACUUAAAUUGAAAAUGGGACAUCACUAAUUCUAUUAUAAAAUAGGACAUUAAGAACAUAUUAUUAUAAUUCUUUUUAUUAUUUUCCAUAUAAAAUAAAUGAGAUCAUAAAUGGAUGGUAAAUUGUCAUUUUUAAAAUAUUAAUAUUUAAAAAAAAUAUUAUAAAAAAUGGAUGAAACAAUUAAUUGAGAAUUUUCAAAAACUUUAUAACACAACAAAAUUAUUAGGCAUUUAAUUGAUAUUCAGGAUAUAAUUUGAAAACUAAUUUAAGUUAAAUCUUUUAUUUAUUUAUUUAUUAUGCAAUCGUGCCUGCACAAUUAUUCUUAAAAAUGAUGCAACUUAUAAGUCCCUUUUCAAUUCCCUCAAAAGAGAAAAGGAAUACUAUAUAUGUUAUUAUUUGAUGGCCUAUUAAAACAUACCUUCAAAAUCAUCCAGCAGCCGUUCUUCAUAGCAGAGAUCUUCAUCUUUUUCCUCUGUUACUUCUCAUCUAUUAUAUCCACCAGCAGCCGUCCUUCUUAGCAGAGAUCUGCAUCUUCUUCCUCUGUUACCUCAUAUCUGCAAUAUCUGGAGGUCCUCUUCCUCCUUAAAACCAAACUGCAACCUCUUCUACCUUGCAACAUGGACAAUCAAGAACUUCAACAAUCUGUUGCUGCUGCAUCAGCACUACAGUCUUCUUUCUCGCCUGUGGCGCAACAGUUAUCUAUGGCGUAUCCACUACUGCUGCCAUCAUACCUAUUCCUAACACACACCAGGUAGUCUCUUUAAAACUCUCCAACACCAACUUUUUGUAUUGGAGGAUGCAGAUGAAACCGUUUCUUUUAGGCCAAAACGUGUAUUCCUUUGUUGAUGGCACAUCAUUAUAUCGUCCUUCACAUCUGGCAUCUGCUGCGACAUAUGCACUUUCUGUCAAAUUUGCAUAUUUGUCAUGGAAGUAGCAAGAUCACUUAAUCAUGAGUGCCCUCCUAUCUUCUCUCUCGGUGGAAGUUUUGCACUUAGUUGUGGAUUCUAACACCUCCCAUGACAUUUGGACAACGCUGGAAACAACUCCUGCCUCUCUUUCAAAUUCUCAAAUUAUGCAACUUCACAGCUCAUUCCAAGAUUUACAACAGGCUGAUGAUUCUGCCAGCAUUUACUUGUAGAAGGCAAAGACCUUGUUUGAUGAACUUGCUGCAGCUAGCAGACCAAUCUCCUUGGCCAAAUUCAACUUGUAUGUGUUUCGAAGGUUACGCAGUGAGUUUAAGGAUCUUGUCAUCAGCUUGUCCACUAAGGAUGUUACCAUCUCCUAUACUGAUCUUCAUAGCAAUCUUCUUACACAUGAGUUUCUUCACAAAGCCUCUCUCCAACCAUCUGUAACAUCUCCUCUGUUACCAACUCCAACGCAGCAGUCAGCUAUGUUCUUUGUGCAACAUCAAUCUGGCUUUAGUACUAGCAAACAAGGUUGGUUUUGUGGGGGCUGGAGACCUAACAAUCAACAAUGUGGCCAACAUGGAAACCAGUUCUCCUCUGGUUCUUCCCAACAUGGAAACCGGUUCUCCUCUGGUUCUUCCUCACGGAUAACAAGCAGCUUUAGGCAGCAAGGAAAUCGUUUUGGUGGUUAUAAUCGCAAUACUACCCAACAGUAUUCUCAAUUGGCUACUCAUCUUACGCAAGCAAAUGGUAAUCUCGCAUUUAAUAAUGUAUCUACCACUACUCCUAUUACUUGGUUUCCUGAUACAGGUGCAAAUCAUCAAGUCACGCCGGACCUUGUAAGUAUGACGAGUUCAGAACAUUACCUUGGAAAUGAUCAUCUGCAUAUUGGUGAUGGUAAGGGCCUUGUUAUUUCAAAUAUUUCCCACUCUAAAAUUCGUUCACCCAAAUGCACGUUUACUUUAUCUAAUAUUCUACAUGUUCCUGCCAUUAAAAAACCUCUGCUAUCUGUUCAAAAAUUUUAUCUUGAGAAUAACGUCUUUUUUGAAUUUCAUUCCUCUCUAUUUUAUGUUAAGGGGGAGUAGAGAUGGUCUAUAUGUUUUGUCUGAGUCGUCCGCAACGUUGUUGCCUCAAGUUUUCUCAUCUACUUGUCUCUCUACUUUCGCUGAUGCCUGGCAUCGUCGCCUUGGGCAUCCCAAUCCACGUAUUCUACAUUUUUUGGUGAAAAAAAAGUGUCAUGUACAUCAACUCAGUUUACUUUUAAUUGUUGUCGCACGUCAUUAAAUCCGCACGGCAUCGGCUGGCGAUUUUUCUUUAUGCGUUUUGCUUUGAUUGGUUCGUUGGAGUCGCCACCUAGUAAUUUAUUGAGGGCUACUAGGAAACCUGAUGUACUGGUCUUGUUAGAGAUUCACGGGAAAGGGACUGGUUGUGGUUAGGGAAGGUAUUAGCACCCCUAACGCACCCUACCUGAGGUAAGCUGCUUCGUGGACUUGAUGUGUUUUUAAAAAUAAAAUUUUAGCCCAAUUCUAAGGCUUUGAUAAAUCAGUUAUUAGUUCCCAAAAUAUAUGUAGAUACAUGUUCUACAUUUUCAUGGAAAAUACAACAUGAUUUUAUCUGUCCUUUAGAUAUUUGUGCAUAUAAAUUAAAAUAUUAAAUUCAUUUUUUUUUAUUCAAUAACAUACAUAAAAAACAAAUACACAAACACACACACAUCUCUUUUUCUAUUAUUAUUUUCUCUUUCUUUUCUUUUCUUUUUGUACAUCACAUUACAAAAUUAUAAAAAAUUUAAACACUAAACAAAAAUUACAUUACAUAAUUUAAAAAUUACAAAAUAGUCCCUAAACUCCAGAAAUUGCAGAGGGACACUUCUGGAACUGCCUGAACAGUUCUGGAACAAUGGCGGCGCGUGGCUUCACGCGCCGCCGCUGACAGUGCUGGAAAUGGGCGGAUCUGCCCUGCUUUCUCCUUUUCUCUUCUCUGCCGAUGGUGACCUGCAAAAUCAACCAAAAACGCAACACAGGCAGUUGAUUUUAGUUGUUUUUCUUUGUUGUUUUUUAGAUCUGCUCUCGGGUUCUUCUCCCGGAUCUGUCCCGUUCGGGUCUGCUGCUAUGGAUUUCAUCUCCUUCUCCUCUGCUUCGGGCGGCGCUGCUGGCUGAUGGUGGAUCUGUGGCUGGGCAUGGAGAUCGGAGGAGAAGCUGUCGUGGCCGGCUGUUGUGGGGAGGAGCUGCUGCUGUUGCUCGUGGGUCUCUCUUUGAUUUACAUCUGCUCCUUCUGCCGAUGGCAGGACUGGUGGAGGCGGAUCGCGGUGGACGCGGGCGGAUCCGCCGGUGCCUGAGGGCUUCGGUGUGGAGCAGAAGGGAGGCGUUUCCUUGUGGAGCUGGAUCCGUGGGCCACUGGCGGUGCGAUUCUGCCGGCGUUCAGCGAGCUGGCCGCUAGUUCAGGAGGAAAGAGCUGAGGGAGGCCGCGGCUGAGGAAGAGAAUGGGGGUUCUCUUGUGGGUCUUGCUGCUGUCGUCUGCUGGCUGCUGGAGCUGAGUCGGCCAAGAGAGGGAAAAAUGGUGGUUGGCCGAGAGAGCAAGAAGAAGAAGGAAGGUGCUGGGAGCAGGAAGGAAAAGGAGAGCUGCAGUGGCUUGGGAGGUGAAGAAGAUGGUGGAACCGGCUGAAAAGGAAAACCAAAAACGUGGGGGGCCGGCCAGACGGCGGCUUGGAGAAGAGAUAGAUUUAGGGUUUUGUUUUUGUGUUGUCUCUCCCCUCAAAUAUCAAAAUUUCCCCCCUUUUAUGUGUGUUGAAGGCUGCUAUAUAUAGGCAAAUUAAUGUUUGGGCCUCAAAAUUAGUCUUCAACUUUCUCUUUUUUUGUAAAUUCUGAUUUUUCUUAUUUUUUUGUAUUUUUUGAAAACGAGCAAUAUCAACGUCAACUUAAAUGAGAAAAAUCAAUGAUUUUAAAAAUAACACGUGAAAAGUCGAACGCGUUCCAAAAAACCUAUGAAAACUUAAAUUCUUUUUUUAGACGACGUUAAAAAUGCUAAAAACGAUGCACACAUAUUAAAAACAUAUUUUUUUGGAUUUUCGUUGUUUUUCGCUAUUUUUGAAUUUUCCGAAGAUUUUAUCAAAAAGGUAGGUCAAAAAUUGGGUAACAACAAUUGUGUUGAGUGCCCUCUGGGCAAGUCGUCUCGUCUGACUCUAAAAACUACGGGUCAUCAAACUCGAGCUCCUCUUAACUUGAUUUUUAGUGAUGAUUGGGGUUCAUCCCCUAUGUUGUCAUCUGAUGGUUUUUGCUAUUUUGUUAUUUUUUUGGAUGCCCAUACGAAGUUUAUAUGGUUUUAUCCUUUGGUUGCUAAGUCUGAUGUUUUUCAAAUUUUUCAUCAAUUUCAGGCGCUUGUGGAGCGCCAAUUCUCCUUAAAAUUUAACUUUGUUCAAAUCGAUUAGGGUGGUGAAUAUCGAAAACUAAAUACAUAUUUUAAAAUGAUUGGUAUUCAUCAUCGUGUGAUCUGCCCGCACACUCAUGAACAAAAUGGCAUGGUUUAACGUCGUCAUAAACAUAUUGUUGAAACUGAGCUUACUCUUCUUGGGUAGUGCCACGCUUCCCUUAAAUAUUGGAGUUAUGCUUUUGAAAGCUCUGUUCAUUUGAUUAAUCGCAUGCCAACUCCAGUUUUUAAUCAUAAGACACCUUUUGAAUGUCUUCUAAAAUCGAUUCCUGAUUAUGCGUUUCUUCGUACCUUUGUGUAAACCCCGGGGGAAAAAAAUAAAUAAAAGUGAAGAAAUUCAUGCAUAUGGUUAAAUAAAAACAGGAAUUCAGAAAUUUUUUAAUAUAAAUUUCCGAGUGAAAUAAUUCGAGACAUUAUAAUAAACCCGGUACUGUUGAGGGUUGGAUUUAAUUGAAGAGAAUAACACACUUAAAGGAAAAGGGGGCCUAAAUGCAAAUAAGGGAAAAUAUAGAGUAUAAGUACUCUCUCCUCACCAAAAAUUUAGAGGAACCAUAAGGAGAGAAAAUAAGGAGUUUUAUACCCAUUCUUGCGAAAUCAAGAGAGAAACACUAAAAUUUCAACAACCCAUCCAACAUUAAGGGUUUAUAGAUGGGAUAAACACUUGAGAGCAAGGGAUUACCAAGAAAUUGAACAAGAAGAAAAGAAAGGAGGGAGUUAAAAAUCUUCAACUGGUUGAAGAUCAAAAUCUUAAUUCGUACUGGGUAAAGUGUUCUAAACAUGAUCUUAAAAAUUCAUUUUAAAUUCGAUAAUGAAUUGAUGUCUUGAUAUUGAAUCAUAGGUUAGGGUUCUUAGACAUGAAUUGGGGAAAAAGUACUUAUUGUUAAGAUUAAGUUAAUUCAUGUGUGUGGUAUGUAGUUUAUGAAAGUAUUGUGUGAAGGGGAGGGGGAGACGAAUCUGGACAGACUUGUCUCCUGACUUUCAGUGAGAUUUCAGGUAGGAGGAUGAGGGAAUUAGGAUUGGAUUCCUUCAUAGAAAUUGUAGAUUUGAAUGAUAGCUAACCAAGGAAACUGGUCUUCCUCAAUUUAGAGAUGUAGAACUCCAGUUAUGGGUUAUCAACCGAGACUGAGUUGUGACUGAUUAUGUAGGGCAGUAGGACUGAUUAGUUGAUGAGCAGUUUUGACUAUCUUGGAGGAAGAACUGGGUUCUCCUUUCUUCAGAGAACUAGUAGUCUCGUGUCUUAACUUUCUAACGAGAUCAAUCUCACUUAAAAUGGAGUUUUAAAACUUUAGAUAUAGUUAAAAAUCUGAUGAGCGUUCAGACAGUAACAGUUCAAAUGUCUAGACAGUAACAGUUGGACAGUAACAGUUCAAAUGUCUGGACAGUAACAGUUCAAAUUUAAACAGUAACGGUUGGACAGUAACAAUUCAAUGUGUAGACAGUAACAGUUCAAAUGUCUAGACAAUAACAGUUCAAAGUUAGACAGUAACAGUUGGACAGUAACAGUUCAAUGUGUAGACAGUAACAGUUCAAAUGUCUAGACAGUAACAGUUCAAUGUGCAGACAGUAACAGUUCAAAUAUCUAGACAGUAAAAAAUUAUAGUUUGCAAUUCAAGCAUUUGUGCAGGAGGAUAAAUAGGCAAUACAAACAAAACAUGUGAAAGUAUGCCACAUUCACCGACGUCACUACCGACGGAUAAACUUCUAUCGGUAUCUUACAGAGAGUUGCAAAAUAUUUACUGUUUUUUACCACAUUCACCGACGUCACUACCGACGGAUAAACGUCCAUCAGUAUCUUACAGAGAGUGGCAAAAUAUUUACUGCAUUUGCCACAAUCACUAACGGACAUACCGACGUCAUCACCGAUGUACGUUGCAAAUUCCAAUGCGCGCAACUGUCAGAGUGCCAGGUCGGUCAGUCCGUUUACCGACGGACUCACCGACGGAUUUUGCAAUUCUAAUGUGCGCGUGCUCUAACACCUCGAUAUCAACAUAAUUGCCAAAGGAAAUUGAAAAUUCUGGAGGGAUUUCCACAAAUUUUGGUGAGAAAUUCAAAAUAUACCGACGGAAAUUACCGACUAAAUUUAAUGCCACCGCCAAAAAAAAUAUUAUUUUAAGUUCCGUCGGUAAAAUUGCAGUAUAAAACCGACCCCCCCUCUCAUUCAUCUUCUAUUCUCCUAUGCUUCCUCAACAGUUUUGUUAUUGUUUUGAUUGAUUUCAACAUAUUAAAAGGUAUGAUUCUCCUUUCUUUAUCUAUGUAUUUGUUUACUUUUUUAUUUUACUUAUGAUUAUUUUUGUUGUGUUUUUUGUUUUGUGUAUUGUUUGUAGAUAAAAUAUUUAAAUCAACACACUAUUAAGGUAAAUAUUUUUCAUUGCUAAAGUCUUUAGUUUUUUCUUUUUAUUUGUUUAAUUUAUUUUAUUGUUUGUAUUGCCAUAAUAAUUGGAAAUUUUUUUAAAUUUGAAUUUUUAUUGUUGAAUUUACCUUUAAAAUGUUAAUUUAAAUAUAGAAUUAAAUUUAAUUAUUUUAACUCAAUUUUAUUCUAUUAUUGCUUGUUAUGUUUUUUAUUAUUUCCAUUAAUUUUAAUUGUCAUUUAUGUAUUUAUAUAGAUGUUACUUGAAAAUAUAUAGAUGUUAAAUUUCUAUAAAUGUUAGGUUGUAUAUAAGAUUUUCCAAUGGAGUCAAUUGGUUUGUGGUUAUUGUAAAUAUUUGCAGGUUUGAAAACUGUGGGUAGUCUCUAGUAUAGAGGAGGUGCUGCCGAAUGUUUUUUAAAUAAUCAAAUUUAAUUAUGUAAUUAUUCAUAUAAAUUUGUGUAGAUGCAUAGAAUGAAAUCAACAGCACGUCAUCAGCAGACGGUUGUAACUAGUUCUUCUAGCAGCGAGGAUGACUUAUCCUUAGGUGCUGAUCACGAAGAGGCAUCUACGCCAACUUGUGAUGCUGCCUCUUCUAGCGCAGUUUCACAGCGCAGAGGCGGUGUGCCUUCACAGCAGGGUCAAUUCACCCGCAAGUACCAGGCACAAUGGAAGGAUGACCUUUCAAUGUCAGUUUGUUUAGGUUUUAGUUUCUUUUAUAUACUUAUAACAUAAUUUAUGAACAACUAAUUAAUAUUUUAUUAAUUUUAUUUAAUUUCAGGUUCACAAACAUUGAGGCUGCCUGGACAAUAACAUCGCGUUUAAAUCAUCGAUGGAGAUUCCAUUGUUUCAAUGGAGUCAGGUUUCCAAACUUCCUGAGUGGAGACCUAAUAUCGAUGCAUGGUUUCGACGAUUUCAGGUAAGUGUAACUUCUAAUUUCUAGCUUAUUUUUAAUAAAUUAUUUUUAUAAUUUUAUAUCUUGUACUAUUUUUAUUUUAAAUGAAUUAUUUAUACACAUCACACAUUUGAGUGGGAUAGAGCGAACAACAAUGUUGUGUGGAGGGAAUGGGAGAAUCACGCGGCAACUAGGUAACAUCGAAAAUAAUAUAAUUUUUUGUUUUAUAAUUUUAUGUUCUAAAUUCUAAUUUGUUACUAUGGAAGUAGGUUGCGUGAUUUUUGAUAUGACACAAAAAAAAAAGCAAAAAGAUAUGCGAGAGAUAACGGUCUAGAAGGCUGAAAUGAGGUGGUGGUUUGGUGGGAAUUCAAACCACCAUUCAUCUCGGGGGAUAUAUGGACGCAAUAUAUUGAGCACGUGACGUCUGAGCGGUUCGCACAACGCUCACAGUCCGGUGUCGCCAAUCAGAAUCGGCAAAUUCAUGGUUCGGUUACCACGCACACCAACGGCUCUUUUCUGUUCGGUGCACAUGCGAAGCGGAUGGUAAGAUUAAUUUAAAUGAAAUAUAUCGUUAAUUAAUUUGUUGUUGCUUAUAAAUAUAUUUAACUUGCAACCUUUUUUUUCCUUACAGACUUCGUCUCUUGGACGUGUGUCGAGCCCAAUGGAGCUGUUUAUAGAGACGCACGUGCGGAGUCAAGACCGUCAAAAAGGGGUGCAACAGUUCGUGGACAACCAUGCUCAAUACUUCGUGGUAUGUUCGUUCAAUAAUUUUAUUUCGUAAGUUAUUAUUUUCUUGAAUUAAAUAUGAUGAUUUUUUAAACAAUUUUCAGGAGACCUAUAAUAACCGGUUGAGGGAGAGAUAUGGGGACAAUCCUUCGACCCAUCUGGAUUUCGAUCCGGAUUUGUGGAUGGAGGUAGGAUCGUCUGGUGGACCCGAUAAAAAUCAGGUCUACAGGCUCUCCAACACUACGGCCGAAAACUUGCGGACAGCCUAUAGUGUCUCAACCGUUGGGAGCUCUACAUCAGUAUCGAGCACCUAGUCUGAGGAAUUCAUGGCCUUGAAAUAAUAAUAUGAACGACUCUCGAUGGAUUAUGAUCAGCUCCGUCAAAUGGUCAUCGACAUUAGAUCAAGGAUGGGUGAUGAUACAUGUGCAGCCCCUUUUUGGCCGUACAGUCCCGGGAACAACCAGCCUCCUCCUUCUCCUCCUCCUCCUCCAACUCUGCCGUUAUUCUAAUUUAAUUUUGUUUUUGAAACACAUUAAAUUUAUAAUGAAUAUUUGGAUGAAUAUUAUUUAAAAUUAUUUUUAUAUUUUUAAUGUUUAAUACAAUUUUAUUUGGUUAAUUAGUGUUUUUUUACUAUAAAUCAAUAUAAUAUUUGAAAAAAAAAUUAUUUAUUCUAAAUACUUUUUUAAAAAAAAAUUUAAAUAAAUGCCGACGGACUUGCAGAUGGAAUAUGUCAGUCGGUAUUAGACAAAGAGUUGAAAAAAAUUUACGACCCAUGCCACAAUCACCGACGGCCCAUCCGUUGGUGAUUUACCGUUGACAUUGCCGACAGCCUAUAUCCGUCGGUAUUUUACAGAGAGUUCUGAAAUAUUUACGGCCCAUGCCACCGUCACCAACGGACUGGCCGUCAGUGAUUUACCGUUGGAAAUACAGAUGGAAUACGUCUGUCAAUAAAGUUCUAGCGCGGGAAAUUUUUUAUGGAUGCGCUUUCCUCGUCUGUAAGACCGUCGGUGUUUGUUUUUUUUCUGACAAACAUACCGAUGGAAGUGGGAAUUACCGACGAUCAAUAUUCUAACAGACAUAUUCUGUCGAUGAGACCGUCGGCAAAAAUUUUACCGACGAAUUGUGUGUUUUACACUGACAUAAUUAUUCCAUCGGUAAAACUGUUUAAUGGUGGUGUAGUGUAAUUCAUUGAUUGCCUAGGACUUUAUGCCUAUAAAAAGGCUUGUAAUUAAGCAUUAUUAAGAAGUACAAAAGAGAGGGAGAGAAUAGCUAAGAGAGGCAAAUUUGGAAAAGGAGUUUGUGGUAGCCAUAACAGGUCAAAUGAUCGAACACAUGAAGCAAAUCGGUCGAUCGAUUACAUUAAUAGUGACAAUCCAAAAUCUAGGUUUGACAAAUCAAAAGUUAAAUGCUAUAAUUAUCAAAAAGUAUGUCAUUAUGCUAGGGAUUGUUGGAGUCCAACUAAAAAGUUUUAGAAGAAUGCAAAUCUAGUAAUAUAAGAGAAAAGGGAAGCCACCCUAUUACUAGUGCAUGAUGAGAGAAUGCAAGACAAAUAGAACAUAUGGUAUCCAAACAAUGAAGCUAAUGUGUGGAGACAAAGACAGGUUCAUGGAGCUUGAUGAAGCAAUUAGAGGUGAUGUCACCUUUGCGAAUCAUUCAAAGGUUGCCAUAAAAAAAAUAUACGAUUUUGAUUAAAUUGAAAUAUGUAAGUCAUCAAUUUAUUCAUGAUUUUUAUUAUAUACCAAUAGGAAAAAGCAACAUAUUGAGCUUAGGACAAUUGUUGGAGAAGGGGUAUGAGAUUAAGAUGAAAUAUCGUACUUUGACAUUACUACAAAAGGAGCUCUGAUUGCAAAGGUAGUUAUGAUAAAAAAAAAAAAAUUAUAAUGUUCUUGUUAAACAUAGAGACAAAUGUGUCUAAAUGCCUAAAUGCAUGUGUGAAGGAUGAGACUUGAAUUUAGCAUAUGAGACUUGGGCAUGUAAACUUUGAUAGUUUGAAGAUGAUGGCAUAAAAGGAGAUGUUGAAGGGUCUACCAUCCAUUAUACUCUAAAUUAGUUGUGUGAAGGAUGUUAAGUGGGCAAGCAAUUCCCUAAGAUUUUUCUGAAGAAGUCUACAUCAAGAGCAAGUCAACCCCAACAAGAAAUACAUAUUGAUGUUUGUGGUCCUAUCAAACCAUUUUUUUGGUAAAAAAUUGUAUUUUUUACUUUUUAUUAAUGAUUAUAGUAUGAAAAACUUGGGUAUACUUCUUAAAAGAAAAGUCUAAUUGUAAUUUUAAUGAGUUUUAUGAAGAUCAUGAUAUAAAGAGACUCCUAACGGUGCCUAUAUUCCCACAACAAAAUAACAUGGUGGAGAGAAAGAAUAGAAGCAUCCUCAACAUGAUAAGAAGCAUGCUCAAAACCAAGAAGAUGCCUAAAUAGUUUUGGGCCAAAGUUGUAGAUUGUGCUAUUUACUUGUCAAAUAGGUGUCUCAUUAAAGGCUUGAAUGACAUGACUACAUAAGAAGCAUGAAAAUGAUCAAGUAAGGACCAAACUAGAUGAUAAGAGCAAAAAAAUAAUCUUUGUGAGUUAUGAUCAAAUAGAUUACAAAAACCAAAGUUAAUAAUGCCAUGCUUAUGACCUUGGUCAUGAGUUGGGCGGGUUAUCCCAGUUAGAGCCAAGUCAAUUCAAAAUGUCACUAUUUCAAUAUUUGUUUCUAUAAAAAAAAUGUUAAGCCGACAUCUUUUAAGAAAAAACUUAAAAGUCAAACUGAGUUUUAACUAGGUCGAUCCAGUUGUGAGUGCACCUACUAGAUCAACCGGGUUACACCAGGUCAACUCCCACAUGGAUUACUUUAAAACUCGGUCCAUACUAAAGCUCGGUCAAUGGAACACUAUUAUCAUAACCUAAUUUUUAUCCCCUUUAAAAAAUAAUUUUCAUCAUAAUAUUUAGUAGAUAAAAUUCGAUAGAUUUUCAAGAAAAAGACAAUUGUUGAAAAUUAAUCACAAUACAAAACAAAAUCAUAAAAAUGAAAGAAAAAAAGAAAAAAAUAAUUAAAGAUAAAAUCAAACAAAUAAUGAAUUUUCAAAAAGCAUGGACUAGGUUAUAGCAAUUACAAAAGGUUAAGGAUAAUUUUGAGAAAUAAUAAUGGAUUUGAUUGAAAGAAAAUUGAAUAAAAAAGUUGAAAUUGAUCAAAUUUGCAUGAAUUGAAAGACUUAGGACCAAGAUGAAAGAUAUGGAAAAGUUUGAAGGUCUUUUUAAUUUAAACAGUGACUUAAUUGAAGAAAUUUUGAUAUUUAAUAUCAAUUUAACUAAAAAUAAAAGAAUUAAAGGAUCAAGAACUAAAAUGUUGAAGAUACCUUAAUAGUAGUUUGAAUGCCACAAUAACACUCCCAAGUUGUAAAAUCAGUUUUGGUUUUGAAAAAUAAAACAACAAAAAUCAAUCAUAAAACAUGAAAUAUCCUCAAAAUGAGCCAUUCUUGUUAUGAAAACCAUAAAAAAGAUGUGUUUUUAGUUGUGUUGUUUGUCUUUAACCAAGCUUGGUCAUUAAGAGUUAAUAAUGAACAUAUCUUAGUAUGUUUUUAUUGAUGCAAUAAUUAAUAAAUAAAGUGCAUUACAUUUCAUACUAAACCAAAUAAUUCUUUUGGAAGCAACUUAUGGUUUUUUCAUGGUGGAAGUUGACCUAUUCUAAGCAUGAAAUAUUGUUGUUAUUAUGCAUGAGAAAAUAUGGUACGGAAAGUUUCUCUUCGUUAUUGGAACAAGGUUGGAUAUAACAUAUUGUGUGUAAAGCUGCUUUUGAAUCCUAAAUAUGUCAAUUUUCUAGGUUUCCAACCCAUUGUUUUGGUUAGAAAGCAUGUGUCAUUUGGUUUGGAGACUAUGGCAACUUAUGGUUAUCAUAAUCUAGAUUUUUUUUUUAUUCUUUUGAUAUCAUGUUUAACUUUGGAGAUUUAUAGUUCACCUUUCUAGGGUUUUUUUAGUUAUAGUGCACGCUCUAUUUGCUUAAUUCAUUAGGAUUUAUGCUAAAUAUACUUGAUUAUAAUAAACAUGAGGAAUUAUGGACUAGAUGCAUGUUUUGGUUAUUUAAAUGAUGCAAGCUUGAAACAUUUUCUUACAGGGUUAGGUUUGUUUAUCUAGGGUUUGUUGAUUAGGAAAGAAUUAGCUUUACUAAGAUUGUGUGCUUUAUGGUAAUCUUAGAUUAAACUUUUUGUUUUAAAAGAAAAAAAUCAACAAAAUCGUCUAUUUUUAAGGAUUAAUGUAUGUCAAAUUUAUCGAAGAGUCUCUUAUUCAUAGGGACCAACAUUAUUUUCUAAAAUAAAUCAUGAGUAAGCUUAGAAAUAUAUCUAGGUAAUUAAUAGCAUGUAUAGAAUAAAUUUAUGAGAAAAAACAUAGUAAAGAUAACUUUUUUUUCAUUUGAAAGGAUGUUAUAAGGGUGAUAUUGAUCUUCUCUUAAAGCAUAACUAACUUUGUAACUGAAUCUUUGAAACCGGUAUUAAUUUUAAAAUUUUUAGUUUUCUUUAUUUAUAUCAUGUAUUUAUCGUGGUAUAGAUCCCAUGAAAACAUACAACAUUACUUUAUAUAACAUUCAUGCGCGUCCCAUCCUUCUAAAGCAUGCACUAUUCCAGCCACACGCCAUGCGCUCAUCACUCUUCUUGGCAGCCAAUUCUGUCAUCAAGUAUUUUGCAAUACAAAUUAAUUAUCUUUCCUAAAAUAAGAAAAUAAUGCAAAUAGUACCUUAAAUUUCAGCAAUAUUUGACUAAUUAAUUACCUCGCAAGAGUCUAUAUUUUCAAGAGAUGCAGGGGCUGCCAUUGCUGGUAUGCUAUGAUAGAAGCAAUCCUUGCGCAAUUUCUUUGGGGGAAAUUGCGAGAAGGGAAUAAAUAAUGUUCCUUCUGCUGCUUUCUUUUGGUCCUCUUCUUUCAAUCCAUCACCAACUAACCACGUCUACACAACAAAGUUUAUUAUGAUAUUAGAAAUGUCAAUAUAUAUAUAUAUAUAUAUAUAUAUAUAUAUAUAUAUAUAUAUAUAUAUGCAUGCUACUUAAAUAAUUUAAGUUGUAAUUUAUUUUAUUUUUGACAAAAAAAAAAAUUAAUUUCUAAUUCCUUGGUAGCUAAAGAAAGCAUAUAUGUAGGUAUAGCGUACCUUUAUUGAAUAACUCUUUGAAAGAAUCAGAUUGUUCUGAUCAGAUGUGAUGCCGAAGGAUUUUUUAAGCUUCUGGUAAUCAUCCUCACAUGGAACAACUACCUAAAAAAUUAGUGAAAAUGAUCGUAAUAAUUAGGAAUUAGAAAUUAAAACAUGACCAUAAAUUAAAUUUGCCUAUACAAUCAAUUUAAAUAAAUUACUGUCAAAUUGAAGAAAGUUACAACAUGUGCCUAUUUGCCUAGUAGACAACAACAAUACCUAAAUGCCUAAAUGCAUAGAUGAAGGAUGAGACUUGGCUUUGUCAUAGAGACUUGGGCAUAUAAACUUUAAUAGCUUGAAGAUGAUGACAUAAAAAGAGAUAUUGAAGGGUUUACCAUCCAUUAUACAUCUAAAUUAGUUGUGUGAAUGAUGUUUAGUGGGUAAACAAUUUCACAAGAUUUUUCUGAAGGAUUAUACAUCAAGAGCAAGUUAACCCCUACAAAAAAUACAUGUCGAUAUUUGUGUUCCUAUCAAACCAUGUUCUUUCGGUAAAAAUCUGUAUUUUCUACUUUUUAUUGAUGAUUAUAAUAGAAAAACUUGAGUAUAUUUCUUAAAAGAAAAGUCUAAUGUGUUUAGUUUUUUUAAGAAGUUUAAGGCCUUUAUUGGAAAAAAAAAAAAAAGUGAUUAUUCUAUAAAACCACUUAGGACGGAUAGAGGAGUGAAUUUUGUUCUAAUGAUUUUAAUGAAUUUUGUGAAGAUCAUAGCAUAAAAAGACUCCUAACGAUGUUUAGAUCCCCACAACAAGAUGACGUGGUGGAGAAAAAGAAUAGAAGCAUCUUCAACAUGGCAAGAAACAUGCUUAAAAUCAAGAAUAUGCCUAAAUAGUUUUGGGUCAAAGCUGUAGAUUAUUCUAUUUACUUGUCAAAUUGAUGUCCCACUAAAAGCUUGAAUGACACGACUCCAUAAAAAGCAUGAAGAUAAACAAGUAAGGACCAAACUAGAUGACAAGAGCAAAAGGAUUAUAUUUAUGAGCUAUGAUCAAAUACAUUACAAAAAGCAAAGUUAAUAAAUUUAGUCAUGCUUAUGACCUUGGUCAUGAGUUGGGCGGGAUAACCCAAUUAGACCCAAGUCAAUUCAAAUUGUCAUUGUUUCAAUAUUUGUUUCUACAAAAAAAAAAAACAUGUUAAACCGACAUCUUUUAAGAAAAAACUUAAAAGUCAAGCUAAGUUUUAACUAGGUCGAUCCAGUUAUGAGUGCACCUACUAGAUCAACCGAGUUACACCAAGUCAACUCCCACAUGAUUUACUAUGAAACUCGGUCCGUGCCAUUUAAUAGAACACUAUUAUGAUAACCUAAUUUUUAUCCCCUUAAAAAAAUAAUUUUCAUCAUAAUAUUUAGUAGAUAAAAUUCAAUAGAUUUUCAAGAAAAAGAAAAUUGUUGAAAACUACUUAUAAUACAAAAAAACAAAUCAUAAAAAAUGAAAGAAAAAAAAAAGAAAAAUACAAUUAGAGAUAAAAUCAAACAAAUAAUGAAUUUUCAGAAAACAAGGACUGGGCUAGAGCAAUUACAAAAGGUCAAAGAUAAUUUUGAGAAAUAAUGAUGGAUUUGAAUGAAAGAAAAUUGAAGAAAAAUGUUAAAAUUGACCGAGUUUGCAUAAAUUAAAAGACUAAGGACCAAGAUAAAAGAUAUGGAAAAGUUUGAAAGUCUUAUUAAUUCAAACAAUGGCUUAAUUGAAGAAAUUUUGAUAUUUAAUGUUAAUUUAACCAAAAAUAAAAGAAUUAAAAGAUGAAGAACCAAAAUAUUCAGGAUGCUUUAAUAGUAGUUUGAAUGCUACAACAACACUCCCAGAUGGUAAAAUCAAUUUUGGUUUUGAAAAAAAAAACAGCAAAAAUCAAUCAUGAAAUAUCCUUAGCCAUUCUUGUUAUGAAAACCAUAAAAAAGAUGUGUUUUAAGUUUUGUUGUUUGUCUUUAACCAAGCUUGGUCAUUACGAGUUAAUAAUGAAGAUAUUUUCAUGUUUUUAUUGAUGCAAGAAUUAAUAAAUAAAGUGCAUUACAUUUCAUACUAAACUAAAUAAUUCUUUUGGAAGCAACUUAUGAUUUUUAAAUGGUGGAAGUUAACCCAUUCUAAGCAUAAAAUAAUAUUGUUGUUUUUAUCCAUGAGAAAAUAUAGUAGGGAAAGUUUCUUUUAUUUAUUGGAAUAAGGUUGGAUAUAAAAUAUUAUAUGUAAGGCUGCUUUUUAAUCCUAAAAAUAUCAAUUUUCUAGGUUUCCAACCCGUUGUUUUGGUUAGAAAGCAUAUGUCAUUUGAUUUGGAGAAUAUGACAAUUUAUGGUUAUCAUAAUCUAAGUUUUUUUUUUAUUCUUUUGAUACUAUGUUUAACUUGGAAUUAUAUAUUUUGGAGAUUUAUAGUUCAUCUCCCUAGGGUUUUUUUUAUGGUGCAUGCUCUCUUUGCUUAAUAUCCUUGAUUAUAAUAAACAUGAAGAAUUAUGGACUAUAUACAUGUUUUGGUUAUUCAAAUGAUGCAUGAAUGAAUAAUAAGAAGCUUGAAACCUUUUCUUAUAAGGUUAGGUUUGUUUAUCUAGGGUUUGUUGAUUAGGAAAGAAUUAACUUGACUAAGAUUGUAUGCCUUAUGUUAAUCUUAGAUUAAAUUUUUUGUUUUAAAAGAAAAAAAAUCAACAAAAUUGUUUAUUUUAAGGAUUAAUGUAUGUCAAAUUUAUCGACGAGUCUCCUAUUCAUAGGGACCAAUAUUAUUUUUAAAAAUAAAUCAUGAAUAAGCUUAGAAAUAUAUCUAGGUAAUUAAUAGCAUGUAUAGAAUAAAUUUAUGAGAAAACACAUAGUAAAGAUAACUUUUUUUUCAUUUGAAAGGAUAUGGUAAGGGUGACAUUGAUCUUCUCUUUAAGCAUAACUAACUUAGUAGCUGAAUCUUUGAGACCGGUAUCAAUUUUAGAAUUUUUAGUUUUAUUUAAUUAUGUCAUGUAUUCAUCGUGGUGUGAUAACUAUGUUAACAUACGAAACUAGGUUGGGUUUAAAAACAUUGUAAAAUAAAUCUCAUGAAAACAUAUAACAUUAUUUUAUAUAACAUUUAUGAUGGAAUCAGAUACCAGAGCAGGCAUAAAAGAAAGUAAAAAUAACCAUCAUAAUAUUCCAUUACUAAUUAUUUGUCCAUUGCAUAGAGAAAUAACAUAAUAUUAAUGGGUAGAGAUAACAUAUAUAGUAGUGGAUAACAUAUAUAUAUAUAUAUAUGUAGUUUGCAAUAUCAUGGAGGUGAUAUGCAACAUCUAAACCGUUUCAGGCAUGUAUAAUUAAUUAAGGCAAGGCUACCAACAUAAGAUAGCUAAAUAUCCAUUAGAAUUUUAAUGGAGUCUUGAUGACCAGAGGUUUGAACCCAUGUUGGAUACUUGCUUGCCAAACUUUGUCAAUGUCAGCCAUGGUAGAACCGCAUUCAUGCUCGUCCCAUCCUUCCAAGGCAUGCACUAUUCCAGCCACACGCCAUGCGCUCAUCACUCUUCUUGGCAGCCAAUUCUGUCAUCAAGUAUUUUGCAAUACAAAUUAAUUAUCUUUCCUAAAAUAAGAAAAUAAUGCAAAUAGUACUUUAAAUUUCAGCAAUAUUUGACUAAUUAAUUACCUCGCAAGAGUCCACAUUUUCAAGAGAUGCAGGGGCUGCCAUUGCUGGUAUGCUAUGAUAGAAGCAAUCCUUGCGCAAUUUCUUUGGGGGAAAUUGCGAGAAGGGAAUAAAUAAUGUUCCUUCUGCUGCUUUCUUUUGGUCCUCUUCUGUCAAUCCAUCCCCAACUAACCAUGUCUACACAACAAAGUUUAUUAUGAAAUUAGAAAUGUCAAUAUAUAUAUAUACUACUUAAAUAAUUUAAGUUGUAAUUUAUUUUAUUUUUGACAAAAAAAAAAUUGAUUUCUAAUUCCUUGGUAGCUAAAGAAAGCAUAUAUGUAGGUAUAGCAUACCUUUAUUGAAUAACUCUUUGAAAGAAUCAUAUUGUUCUGAUCAGAUGUGAUGCCGAAGGAUUUUUUAAGCUUCUGGUAAUCAUCCUCACAUGGAACAACUACCUAAAAAAUCAGUGAAAAUUAUCGUAAUAAUUAGGAAUUAGAAAUUAAAACAUGGCCAUAAAUUAAAUUUGCCUAUACAAUCAAUUUGAAUAAAUUACUGUCAAAUUGAAGCAAGUGACAAACUGUGCCUAUUUGCCUAGUAGACAACAACAGUACCUGGAUUCCCCUCCGGCAGAGAUUUAAAGCAACAGCAUAGGCAACCUUAGAGAGAUUGCCUCUAUGAAGCACGUGUGUUGUUCCUUUAGGUAUGCUAUUCAGCACUGCAGCAACGGCUAGACUGCUUCCAUCCACCACCUUCGUUUUGAGCCUGGGAUGCCUUUGCACAUAAAGUUCACCAUACCUAUUAAGCUCCUCUCCCUGCAUAAUUUAAUUAUGUUUGAACAUGAUGAAGAUACAAUUAACAAACAUUUGAUUGCCAAAUGUCAUUAGUUUUAUCUGUUGAUCUAUGAUGUAUCGUAUCCAUGAAAUAUGGGAAAUUGAAAAAAAAAAAAACCUAUAAACUCAACUACGUUGCAUCUAGUAAUGGCCGUUCUUAAGUAACCGGCCACCACCGUUUUUUUUUUUUUUCUAGAAUGCAUUAUAUUUUAGCCGUGAAGUGCUUGCCUGAUUCAAGAGACCGAGACUUAACACUUUAACACCUUUUUCCUCAGCUUCAAGUACAGCUUCUUCAAUCAAGGUAUUUAUGGAUACUUUUUGCCAUCGCAAGUUGUACUGCCAAAAAUUAGAUAAGCAAAUUAAGGAGAACAUAUUAAACUGAACGCCCUUGAUUAAUCUGAGUUUGUGGCAGAUAAUGGCAGAUAAAAUACGAUAAUGACAAAGAAAUAUCCUUCUUAAUUACUUGAAUAUUGUAUUUUGGUAAGGUCCACGUCUGUAAUCUGAGUUUGCGGAAGCGAUUCCUCUCGACAACAAAAGUGCGUCCAUAAAUCCAAGUUAACAUCAUAGUCCACAAGGUCACCGGCCACAUUAACCAUAGAUACCAUUUCGAUUCUUGAGGGGUGGAAGCCAAGCAGGCAAGUCCUAGCCGUAAAUGAUAGAUGGAAUCUGGUGUGGUAAGAUGAGUUAGAUGCACUACAUCAGGGGCUUCCUCGAGUCUCUUGAGCGAAUCUUCAUAGAGGGUAACAGAAGACGUGUCCAUUGUGCCAUAGAUGUAAUCAUAGAUGGGCAUGAAUAGUGAGUAAUUGGUUCU
rnacentral:lncRNA from 1 species